UCUGAAAAUCACGAAGCAUCUUCUAACAGUCUCUGCUAAAAAGUGAGAAUGUAUAUUCUUGGUCCUCCUCUAUUGAGGCACGUUAUCUUCAUGACAGCCUUCUUAUAUCUUUCUGAUGCAAGGUAAGAUUAUUUUUGCAACUACAGCAAAAUCUUAGCACAAUAUAUACAAUUGUAUUGCAUAGAAGUUUUACACGGAACCUCUGCGUACAAAAGAGGAAAAACAAUUGGUUAUGUGUGUGUGUGUAUAUAUAUAUAUAUAUAUAUAUAUAUAUAUAUAUAUAUAUAUAUAUAUAAAGUAUGCAAUGAUACCUUCUUUAAUUGGACUAACAUAAUACUUAAAAGACAUGCUUUUGAGUAAUACUGAUCUGAGGAAGAGAGGAAAACUAUUGAAAGCUUGUCUUUUAAGUAUAAUGUUAAUCUAAUAAAAAGGUAUCAUUGCAUACUUCAAUACUCUGAUAUUUUGGCAUCUUGUCUACUUGACCAAUACAGCAAACCCAAUCUACACUAUAUAUAUAUAUAUAUAUAUAUAUAUAUAUAUACACACACACACAUGUAUAUGCACACAAACUUUUUACACAUAUAUACAUACACACUCACACUCACUCCCUCUCUCUGUCUCUGCUAUGCACUCCUCUUAAAGUAACACAUGGUGGAAAAAACCUUCAGUAAUACAUUGGUGCAAAAAAACCUCCAACAGCAUACUCAUCUACCUAAAAAGGCUCACUCAAGUAUUAGCAGUGAAAAAAAAUGUAUUUGCUGUUUAUUCAGCUAGUGCAUAAUAUAACUGAUGUUUCAGUCUCAGUGAGAGACUUUUAACAAUACAUCAUACACAUGUAAACAACUCAAUUAUAUAACAAUUCCAAAAAUGCAAAUUAGCAAAACCAUGCUGAUGGCUGUAUGAGGUCAGUAUAAAACACACCAUAAGAAACCUCUAUAACAUACUCAUUGUAAUAAUGUGUGGCCAGAAAUAUCAAUGCAUUUCAACAUGAUAUUUUAUUAUACAAGUAAGUAGCAUAUUGCUCCAUCAAAGCUCCCACCCUACCUGAGCAGAAUGCUCUCCUCAGCUGUUUCCACCUCCUAUAACCUCCGAUCCACUACCAGCACGAUAUUAAGCAUACCGCAAUUAAAAAAUAAAGUGGCUUGAUUCCUCCUUUUCCUACAAAGCACCGCAAUUAUGGAAUAACCUCAGGGAUACAGUCAAAUCUUCAUACAAUCUAAAAUCUUUAAAGAGAUCUAUGGCAAUAUACCUCAUUACAGAAUGCACUUGUCAUGACUAUAUUUAUUACCUAUUAUGUAUUUAAUUUAUAUAUGUGUUUAUGUAUAUAUAUUACAACAAAAUAAAUAAUAAUUAAAUAAAUGCAAUAUAGAUAAAUAAAUGCAAAAUUGCAUUGUUACAAUAGGGUACAAUAUUAAAAAAAAUACAAUAUACAAGCAAUAUAUAUAUAUAUAUAUAUAUAUAUAUACACACACACAAACAAUAUAUAUUGUAUUUGUAUAUUGUAUUUAUUUUAUUUUUGUAAUAUUGUACCCUAUUGUAACAAUGCUAUGUUUUGGGGACCCAGGACAUUCCCAUGUAAACGAGAGAAAUCUCAAUGUAUCCUUUACUGGUAAAAUAUUUUUAUAAAUUAAUAAAUAAAUAAGAUAAGUUUGGUUUGAUACAAAGUUGUGCAAAGUGAUAGAAUUCAAUAUGCAUGUAUCUUUUAACAGUAAGCAAGGAGUAUAUCUAUCUUUCAAAAACUAAGGAACAAAAUUAGACUUAUGUGAACUUAUUAAUUAACAACAUUGCAACAUUGCCCUUGGAGCUUUAGAAGGCUAUAUUAGUAUAGCAUAUUUAAUAAGAGAACAGUCCCCGCCAUAUGACACAAAAAGACAAAUUAAAGUUUGAUUAUCCACCCACCAUAUACAGCUGUGCUCAAAAGUUUGCAUAGCCUUGGAGAAUUGGUAAUAUAUCUACCAUUUGUAAAGAAAACAUGAGUGAGCAGGCAAAACACAUUUCUUUUAUUUCUUAUGGGAUUCAUAUUCAACUGUAGGUUAUAACAGAAUGGCACAAUCAUAAAACAAAACAUGGCAACAAAGAAAAACAUGGAAUGACCUCUGUUCAAAGUCUGCAUACCCUUAGUUCUUAAUAUUGUGUAUUGCCCCCUUUAGCAUCACUGACAGUGUGCAGUCUUUUGUAAUAGUUGUCUAUGAGGCCCCUAAUUCUUGCAGGUUGUACACCAUGUAUAUGGUGUCUUGAUAAAAGUCUCUCACUGAGAUGGAAAUUUUAAUUGUAUUAAGCACUAGCUGAAUAAACAGCAAGUACUUUAUUUUCAAUACAAAUCCUUGAGUGUGUCUCUUCUUGGUAGAUACACACACACACACACAUGCAUAUAUAUAUAUAUACACAUACUUUACAUAUACAAUAGAAGGCUGAGCCUGUGGGUGAAGCCUGGAAUUGUGGGAGGGGAUAGUUUGCCUAUAAAUAUACAGGCAUUCCCUUCCUUUGUGCUGUUGCUGCCUGGUUCAGCCCACCCACCGCUCCCUUUAUCAAACAAUUCAAUUUGGCUGGCCCUCUUUUUACAGGACCACCUAAACGUCGGUUCCCACAUACCACAACUGACUUAUGCCACUACUACUAUAACUCGGCUUAUUGUCCCCACUUUCCACAUAUAUCUACAUACACACAUACUCUUAUACAUAUACAAACACAUACUUUUACACAUAUAUGCACACGCAGUAUACUGACCCCUCACUGUCAGAAGCAUAACCCGCUCACAUACCAGCCAGAUCUACAAGCAAGCUCAGAGCCUUCCUACAUCCCAGGGGCCAGCAGGACACCUAUGGGCCGCACCAUUUGUGAGUGUGGAUACUUCUAACAGGCGGGGAUAAUGUGGGUGUCAGAUCUGCACAGGAUUCAGAUCAUUAAUUGUUUACUGGUCAUAAAUCCAUGAUCAGCUUUCCGCUUGGGACAGAACAGUUUAGAAUGGUAUGAUAUGGGUAGGUGUGUGGCAGAGAGAAGAAACUGGGGAUGUGGGUGUCAGGGAGAGGGAAUUGGGAUGAAGGGUGGUAAAGAGAAGGACUGAGUGGGUGGGUAGAUGACAGAGAGUAAAUGGGAUAGGACAGACAAGUGUCGAGCAUGUGCAUGUACCAACCAAAUAAUUUCUGCUAGUCAAGGCAGGCAGAUAUAGUAUUUAUAGUACUAAGAGAACAAUUCUUGAUGGCAUGAUAACAGAGCAAUUCUUGCCUUGCAAAAGUGCCCAGACAGCGCACGACAGAGGACAUCAUCAUCAGUGGUCAUACUCCUCCCCUAGAAUUUUACCCCAAUCUUUAGCUCUGUAGCCAUUAUUUUCUGAUCUGUGGCACCUGUACUUAACACUUAUGGUAACAUAUAUAGAAUUACCCAAACAAUACUAAGAGAUGGUUAUAAUAUAUAUACGAUAAUCAUACAAUUCUCAAAGCUAUGAACAAUAGAGAGAUACCUAUACAAUAAACAAAACUGAGUAUGAUACGGAGAUACCCAAACCAUACAGAGAGCCAAGUACAAUACAGAUAGAUACCCAUAUAAUUACAAAGAACCCAGUAGUAUAAAGAGAUACCAAUGCAAUACACAGAACUAAGCACAACACAAAGAUAUCCAUAAGAACACCGAACUGGGCACUACAGAGUUACCCAUAGAACAGGUAAAAUACAGAGAAAUAACACACAGAGCUGGGCACAUUAAGAAGAUACACAUAACUAUCCCACAGAGCCAGGCUCACUGUGAUCACUUACACAAAGCUGAAAUACAGCGAUACCCACACAGCACAAAUUGCUCCAGUUACCACUAAUGGCUGAACCACAUUCGGAGUUUCGAACCUCAUUUCCAUUAUGGCACUAACACAAUUAUAUUCUGCAUCUAGUGCCGCGAUCCUCUAUGACCCCGGAUCAGGUAAUGGUAAUUUAUAUAGGAAUCUAUAGGGAAUAUAUUCUGAUUUGGUUAGUUCUAUUGUGGAUUCACACCAAUCACAGCUAAACUAUCUGGAUUGGCGUGUCUCCUUUAAGCAGUGGGUGACCUCCCUCUCCCUCAGGUGUGACUAUUUGUUUUAUUAUUAUUUCCCUAUAUAUAGGUAUUAUGUUAUGAGUUGGGAUAUUCACUAUUGAGAAAGGCAUUUUGGCUGAAAAGUUGAGGGAGGGGAUUAUUGUUAUCUUUUGGUAUCAAUUUUCUCUCUCAUAACAUUGUACCAUUGUCUGUGCAUUGCUUCUGGUAUGUAAUCCUGAUUUUUGCUAUUGUAUUUUUCAUUAAGUACACUGUCUUUUGUUUGGCAGAUGUAAUAUUGAUACGUAUUAUGAUGACCUAUUUAUUAAAAAACUAAUUUCUUGUAUUUACUAUCUGGUGUUUCAGAUUUUUGAAUUAUUAUUAUAUUGUUUAUUGAUCUUUAAUAUUAUGUGCUUCUAUGUAGUAUUUUAUUCUAGUCACUCAGGAUUCACUGUGCAGUGUGUCACUCCAUAUAUAAAGAAAUUCACUGUGCAGAGCAGUGUGGGUGUCACUCAGUGUUUAGCUAGAUUCAAUGUGCCACUCAGUAUAGAAAGGGAUUCAUUGUGGGUGUCACUCAGUGUACAGUGGUAUUCAGUGUGCAGAGCAGUGUGACAGUCAGUGAAUAGAAGGAUUCACUGUGCAGAGCAGUGUGCAAUUUAGUAUAUAGAAGGAUUUACUGUGCAGAGCAGAGUGUGUGUCAGUCAGUCUAUAGAUGGAUUCCCUGUGCAGAAUAGUGUGUCACUAAGUAUACAGAGAGAUUCACUGCACAGAGCAGUGUGUCAUUUAGUAUAUAUAGUAUUUAAGUGUGCAGAGCAGUGUCAUUCAGUAUAUAGAGUAUUUCACUGCACAGAGCAGUGUCAUUUAGUAUAUAGCAUAUUUCACUGUGCAGAGCAGUGUGCAUAUACUUAGCAUAUAGAGUAUUUCACUGUGCAGAGCAGUGUGUAUAUAUUCAGUAUAUAGAGUAUUUUACUGUGCAGAGCAGUGUGGGUGUCACUCAGUGUUUAGCUAGAUUCAAGGUGCCACUCAGUAUAGAAAGGGAUUCAUUGUGCAGAAUAGUGUGUCACUACACAGAGAGAUUCAUUGUGCAGAUCGGUUUGUCACUCAGUAUAUAGUGCAGAACAGUGUCUCUCUCAGUAUACAGAGCUAUAGUAUUAUAUUCCUAUGAGGUCCUUGAUCCUUCUUGAUUAACCUUUUUGAUAUUAACUUACCUAAAAAAUACUUUUGGGGGUUGACCUUAACCCAGCUAAUAUCCGAUUUGAAAGCACUUUUGGCAUGCUUGCAUUUGUUAUAGAUUGCUGUUGACCCCUCUAAUGUAAAUUUUUUGAAUGCCAUUUUCUUAUCUUUUAUUUGACUGACCCUUUUACUAAGCCGUGUUGAUUUUAAUUUACGUUUUAUAUUUGUUUUUUUAAUGUAUAAUCUUUAGUGAAGAUUUUUUAUUUUUUACAUACAUUGUUUCUUUCAAAAAAAGAUAAGUGUAAAGGCAUAGUAUUUCAACAGCAUUUUAACAAUAAAGAUAAAUUAUUAUUGUACAUGACAUCUUUUCUGAGGACAUUCUUGUAUUUAGAAUGUAUCAAAUCAAUGUUGCAGCAAUGUUGUUAUUUUGUAGAUACAAUAUGUACAUAUUCUUUGAUAUUAUUUUAGACCUUCCGUUAAUCCUCUGUGCUGUUGCCAGUGAAUAACUUGUCGUAAAAGAUGCCCUUAUCCUAUUUAAAUGAGCCUUUUUAAAAUUAAACAUUUAUAUACAGCCUAUGGAAAUUGUUUUGAGUUUAUCUCAAAUGACACCAUAUUAUGUUCACUAUUUCCCAAGUGCUCCCUUACGUGAAUGUUUGAAAACAGGUAAACUGUAUGAGUUAUGACAAGAUCCAGACAAGUAUGUAUUCUAGCUGGCGCUUCUACUAAUUGAGACAUGAUAGUGUAAUGUAUUAGGUUCAAAAACUCAUUUUCUUUAACUGUACCAGUAGUCCCUCUGGCACAAUCAGUGUCUGAAUAAUUAAAAUCUCCUGUGAUUAACAAAUCACCCAGAAGUCAGCCUUAUUAACUGGAGAUAGCAGUUGCUCUUCCCUAUCAAUAUGAAUGUAUGGGGGCUUGUAACAUGUUUCUACUAUGCAAAUCUUUACCCAUAAGACUUCCAUAACCUUACCUGUAUCAUCACAUACAAUUGGCUUCCAAUCAUGUUUAUUAUAAAGACAUAAAGUCCCCUCACCUAUUUUUUUCAAUACUUCCUAAAUAAUUUAUGUUUAUUUAAAUUAAUAGCCCAAUAGAGUGUUUCAUCCCAUAAAGUCUCAGUAAUACCAGUGAUGUCAUAUUGCUCCAUGUAUGAUAAUAUUUCAAGCUCUCUUGUUUUAUUAUACAAGAUUCUUGUAUUGACAAGCAGACAUUAAAGCUACCAUUUGCUUCAGUAAGUGGUGGUAGAAUCUUGGGUGCUGCUGGCAGAAACUGUGGGGGUCCAAUGGAGGAGUGUGUGGUCUUCGGUGGGUUCAGACCACAGUGCAUGCUUCUUCCAGUCAGGGCUUUUUUAAUGAAUCAUAACAAUGCCAUGACAACCCAUUGACAGCCCUCUGACUCACUGAGUGCUGGAACUGCAAGGAAGUGCUUACCAAGCUUUAGUAAUUAACUAACAUUUAGAAAAUAACAUUAAUAUAAUAAAUAAUUGAUUUUGCGAAGAGGGGCCAUCCGGUCUGAGCCCCCUUUGAUAAGCAGAACUCCAUGGCCCGGUCACCAUAGCGAACAUUGUAUUUAACUCAAUAGAGCAUAACCUGGCUGAUAAAUAGUUAUAGCGAAAUAAGAAAACAAUUUCAGAACACAGUGUACUUCGUGUUAUGAAUUAUCAUCAUUCAAAAGAGCUAAUGUAAUUUUAAAGGUGUAUUCCAAUCAUUAUAUUCUUAAGUCACCAUGAUUCACCUGUAGUAACAUUAUUUUAUCAGUGUCAUAAAUUGGUUAUAGCAUUAUUAUUAAAUUAAGAUGUAAAAAGUAUACACAAAUAUAUUAAUUUAUUGUGUAUAUCAUCCUAAAUAUUGAUCCCCUGGACGCCAAAGACCUCAUGGCAAGGGAUAUGGUUCCUUUUGGCAAAAUUAACAUGCUUCUAAAAAGGGCUAAAGCUAAGAUGUAUUGUUCUUAGUGUUAUGUUAUGUCUAUCUUAUAAAGUGAACAAGUCUCCUACGCUGUGGUUUGGACACAGCAAUUUGACAUGAUAUGCUCCUGGGAGCUGCUUUCAUUUAAGCUGCUGGAGAUCACUGAUUGGAGCUUAUACGAUUUGAGGAGUACAUAUUUGCUCAUUAUUUGUGAGUUUGUGUUUCCAAUUUUUCAGUUUUUAAUGCAUUUGAGAGGUUACAUUGUUUACCCCACCUCCCCCCUUGGUUGUGCUAAUGUGGAUAUUAUUGUACCCAUCAUUUAUACUGUGAGUGAUACCCUAUCUUGGAGUGAUAACUAGUAUGAUUUUAAAAGGUAACAGCACACAGUUACAUUGCUGAAAAGAGACAUGUGUCCAUCACUUUCAGCCUAACAUUUGUUUUUUCUGUUGAUCCAAAAGAAGGCAAAAAAAAAAAAAAACAGUCUGAAGUGCAUCCAAUUUUGCAACAAACUAGGAAAAAAUCCUUCUUGACCCUAGAAUGGCAGACACAUAUCUCCAUGGUUAAAGAAGCUAUCCCCACCCCUUAAUUAAAAAGUAUAUCCCUGCAUUUUAUGUUUAUGCAAGUAUUUAUCCAAUUGCUGUUUAAAUAUCUGUAUAGAUUCUGAUAAAAUCACCUCUACUUUUCUUACUGUAAAAAAACAUUUCCUUUGCCUUAGACUAAAUCUCAUUUCUUCCAGUCUAAAUGUGUGACCGUGUGUCCUAUGUAAAGUAGUAAAUGAUAUUCUCAUAUAGAUAAAUAAAUAUAAAUCACAGAAAAGAGGUGCACUCAUAGGUCUUUAUCCAACGUGUUUAUUCAAACAAUCCCUGUCUCCUGAUUGACAUUUUGACGCUGGCGGGCCUUUUUCAAAAUCAACAAGCAAGUCUACAUACACAAAUAUAUAAGGAUAAAUUAAUUCAAUUUACCAAACAGCAGUGUCUCAAGAACCUGAAAGCAUUCAGAUCCGGAAGUAAACCAGCAACCCAUGUGAUGUGUAGGCGUGUAUGUUUGAAUGUUGCCAUUGCUAAGCAACCGAGUAAUUAACUAGAUCGGUGUGCAGUGUAAUAUAGGAGUGAAAGAGGUGUAUUAAAAGGAUUUAUAAAAGAAGCAUAUGGAGGAUUGUGAAAAACAUGAGAUACAACAUGAUAGUAGCCCAUAAUCUCACUAGGGUUGAAAACUGCAAAAUAAAAAACGGUUGGAUAAUGGACAGUGAGUGAGGGAAAACCACUCUUAGUGAUGGAAAACUAUAUGCAGUGCAUCUGAGAAAAUCCCCAGUGGUUAUUAUGGUCAUGCAAACAAACUGUGUUAAUUACAAUGUAAACUUUGUGGUAAGAAGCAACACAAUCCAGAAUAUAUACAAAUUUACAGAUCAGGCAUUUACAUGACGUUUGAGGGGUGAGUGUCAAGUCUAAAAAUUGGACAUUUCUGGACCAUCGGUUGUAAGCACUUGUCUAUGUAUUGGUACAAUCUACUCGAGAUUGACCCAAUCCCAGAGACUAUAGGCCUUCCUGGGGGAUUCUCUCUAUUUUUGUGCAUUUUCAGGAGAUGGUAAAAAAACAGGAAUCCUAGGGUGAGACAUAUUUAAGAAUGUAAUUUCCUUUUUAUUAAGAAUACCUAUUUCUAUUACCUUUUCAAUCUGUCCUACAUAGAUCUGUUUUAUUUCUUGAGUGGGGUCUUUGGUGAGUCUUUUGUAUGUUUUAGUAUCAUUCAGAAGUCUCAAUGACUAUUUUUUGUUGGUUAUUUGUUGUCCUUGUAUUACUCUUAUUUCUGUAAUGGCCCCUUCUCCUCGGGAAAAAAUAUUUUGGUGGUUGACUAAAGUUAUGUUGUCUAGUAUUUACACGUGGUGGAGUAAAUCCUUUAUAUUUAUUGGAAUAAGAUCUUACUUUCUUUGAUAUUUCCUUUUUUAAAUCUCCACCACCCCUUUUUCCAUUCUCUCUAAAUUUAUUUGGAAAUCUUCAGUCAUCUGUGAAUGCUCAUCUGGUUGCAUGUUCUCAAUCAGAAAUUUCUGGAUAUUGUUGAUCUCUCGAUCUAAUUUCUUGAGAGUAUUACCACGUCUUCUGACGAUUAGACCCGUAAGGCCGAAUAAGAAAUUUCUUGGACAAAAUCUUCUUUCUCCUGAUCAAAUGAUGGGGUUUCAGUAAAUCUAGGACCUCUAGGGGUAAUUUUCUCUUUGAGAUAUUUCUCCAUGGUUUCAACUUCCCAUUUAAUUUUUAAUUCUCUCCCCAAUAAUCUCUCUAAAUUUCGUUGAUGUUGCUUGAUGUCCAUAUUAUUGACAUCAUUAGUAUUGUAAGCUACCCUUUGAUCAAAUAGUUCAUCGAUAUUUUUACCACAAUUACUUCUAUUUGUAGAUACAGCCAUAUUUAAAUGUAGCAGCACACACUGUGAAGGAGAAUAAAAAAUAGAAAUGUGAACAAAAAACUGUGAGUAGUGCGCUUCAAUUAUUAGAUACAGAUAUGUAAUAGCCGCUUCACACUCCAGGGGGGAGUCUUCCUCAUCCCCUUGUGAUAGAUAUGAAAGUAAAAGAUAAUAUAUGCCCAGGUUUUAAUGAAUUUCUCUCCUAUGGCAUAUAUUAUGGUGGAGCGCUGUCGAUAGUAAGUCUAAUAAAUUUUAAUUCACAGCUUGUGUGUAUGUGUGUGGCUGUCUGCCUGUGUUUGUGACUGUCUGCAUGUGUGUGUGUGUAAGACUGAAUGUAUGGCUGUAUAUAUGUUACGAUCUGUCUGUACCUAUGUGUGUGACUGUCUGCCUGUAACUGUGUAUGUGUGUGACGGCCUGUACCUGUUUGUUUCUGCCUGAUCCUGUGUAUGUGACUAUCUGCCUGUGACUGUGUGCAUGUGGUGGAUUUGACAUUGUAUAUGUAUAACUGUGUGCAUCUGAAUGUGGGACUGUGUGCACAUAACUUGGCAAAAAUAUACACAUAUGCAUAUUUUUAUCUGAAUUAAAUACCCAUCACACACAGCCAAUAAACCCAGCACAAAUAUCACAUACAAGCAAUACACGCAUAUCACACACAGUUAAUACACCCAUUACAAAUAUCACACACAGCCAAUACAUAGCAUACAUAUCACAACCCAGUCAUCACACCUACACAAACAACACAAACAUGACAUCAUAUUAUAGUGAGAUGUAUUACAGUGGAGCUCUGAUAUAUAAAAUGCACAUUACUCUGUGUUUUAUUUUUAGGGAGCUUGGUGAUACACUAAUAGACACAUUACUUAGAGUUGUAUUGUUGUGUAGUGUAUGAUCUUGUCACAGAGCUCCACAUUACUGGGAGUUUUAUUGUUGUGGAGCUCUGUGAUAAAUGAAGAAGCAGCGCAUUACUACAAAUUUUUAUUCCUAUGAGAUCAUUGUAAAUUAAUAUAAUCCAGAGCUCCAAAACAAAACCACUCAGAGUAUUAUGUGACAUAUUUAGUCUGCUCCUCAGUAAUGUAGGUGAGGCAGUCUGGCACUUCUGGCCAGCACUUCUGUUGGCUCAGACCAUAAGUAGCUGUCUUCCUAGCUCGGGAAAAUCAGAGCGCUGCUGCAGAUUACCAGAGGACACUGCAAGUCCCUGAGCUUGCGAGACAGUUACGCAUGGUCUGUACCCAGUGGAGGGGAUUUAGGCUUGUUUAGGAAGCCAAAAGUCAGAGCUCCCACAAGACACGUCCAACCAGCUUGCGAGUCAGGCCCAACAACUAACGGUAUCCCAAGUGAGAUUCUACUGGCCACUAUAUCACCAAUUUUGAAACCCGGUAAAGAUCUUACAUCUAUUUCGAAUUAUAGACCUGUUUCGUUAAUAAAUAUUGAUGUAAAGAUAUUUUCAAAGAUCCUAACCAAUCGACUCAAAUUAAUUAUUCCACAAUUUGUUUAUAAAGAUCAAUCAGGGUUUGUCUUGGACAUAAAGCCAAUAGAUAAUACUCACAAAAGAAUAAAUAUUAUUCAUAAAACAGAACUAACCAAAACUGGUCUCUCGAUGCCGAAAAGGGUUUUGAUAGAGUUAGGUGAAGAAAUUUAGAUUCUGACCAGGAAAGUUUUUGAUUGAUAGGUUGGAUUAAGGAUAAUAUCAUGGUGCUAUACUCCAAUCCCAAAGCUAAUGUAACGGGUCCACUAUUCGAAUCAGAGUGGAUUAAUAUUUAGAAUGGAACCCGUCAAGGCUGUCUUCUGGCACUCUUAUUUCAUAAACUCUCCAUCGAACCACUAGGCAUUCUAAUUCUACAAAACACAAAAAUUAAGGGAAUCCAAAUAGGAAAUCGGAUUUGCAAAAUAACACUAUAUGCCGAUGACGUGUUUCUGUCCCUGACAAACACUGUUGAGUCGAUUGAGGCACUCAUUUCUUCAAUUAAAGAACUUAGCACAUUUCCAAAUUACAAAAUUAAUAUUCAAAAAUCUCAAAUAUUACUUAAAUCUAUUACUAAAGAUAAUACAGAUAUUCUAAAAACUAAAUAUAACUUUAUUUGGAAAAACCCCAUAAAUAUAGCUUAUUUAGGAAUUAAGAUCAAAUUAGAUAUUGGUAAUAUGGUAGAAUUUAAUUAUAAUGAAAUGUUAAAUACUCUUUCAUCAUACCUUUCUGACAACAAAAAAAGGAUCUCUAAUCAUAUUGAAUUCAUGCUGACAGCUGGAUACCUAGACAACUACGUGGCAAAAAGUCUAUUCAUAAAUCAUCCUACACAUCCCAUCUUAUACACCUUACCUAAGAUCCAUAAGGACUUACACGACCUGCUAGGAAGACCGAUAGUAUCGGUGAGGGACGGUCUGAUGGAAUCUAUUGCCAAAUAUGUUGAUUUAUAUAUAAACAAGGUAGUACAGAAUCUACCUACUUGUCUAAGAGACACCCAAUAUUCGGCCUUUGACUUUGGAAGGAGAAGACAUCUUACUGGUGAUCCUUGAUGCACAGAGUCUGUACACUAUAAUCCCUCAUCACAAAGGCAUUCAAGCAGUACAUGAGAUCCUUAGAACUACUCAUCUCUACAAGGGUCCACCUAUUGGAAUUUUUGUCUCUCUCUCUCUUACUUGCAAUUAUUUAAAAUUUGAGGAUACAUUCUACCUGCAAACCUCAAACAGUGAUGGGGGCAGCUAUGGCUCCCUCAUACGCCAAUGCCUUUAUAUUCUUGCCAGAUACCAACAUAAUAUCCUCAAAUAUCUUCGCUUUGUCGACGACGUGUUCAUGGUAUGAAAGGGAACCCCCGAAGAGUUGAACCUGAUGAUAGAACAAAUAAAUGGUUCACCACUCCCCGUUAAACUCACCACUGUGUGACAUCAUGAAUCCAUCCAAUUCCUAGAUGUCACAGUAUUCAGGAAGGACAACCUCACUGGCUACAAAUUGUACCGCAAAACAACUGAUCGUAAUACUUUACUGCAAGCAACAAGCUUGCGUCCCCAACACAUUAAAGACUCGCUUCCAAUAUCCCACUGUUUUGCGAUGUAACAGCGAUGUUAAAAACCGAGAUGAGCAGUUACAACAGAUGUGGAAUAGAUUUUUAGAAAGAGGCUAUCACCCACAAAUCCUUUCUAACGCCAAAGAGAAAGCGAUUGAAUGUUUUAAUACAGGAGGUCAACGUGAAGAGGCCAUUGAACACAAGAAGCAACGUAUAUUUGUACCACUUACAUACCACACAAAUACUCAAAAGGUAUGCAGUUCAAUCUACAAACAUUGGGACAUCCUACAGUCUGAUAAAAAUCUUCCAAUAAGAUUUCAAGGAAAACCCGUUAUCAGCUAUAAGCGCAAUAAAAACCUUUGUGACUUACUGGUGAAAGGAGAUCCCACACACUGCUACGACAAACCAAAGGUAUUACGUAGAAGUGGUUGUUUCAAAUGUGGGGGCUGUGUGACCUGCAGCCAUAUUAUAGGUGGUAACUCAUUCGUACAUCCACAUAGUGGCAGAAGAUACGCUUUAAAGCAUUAUAUCACCUGCACCACAGAUCACGUCAUCUACUUGAUUUCCUGCCCAUGUGGACUGGCAUACGUUGGGAAAAUGGACUUGACAGUAAGAUCAGAUUUGGGGCCACAGGUUCACCUAUUAUUUUGACUAAAGGCUUAAAUGAAAAUAUCGUCUUUUCUAUGAUUUUAUAAAUAUCUUCUCAGUAAAAUUUAUGUUUUUACCACGUAGAGUAUAUUUUUUUGUGGUUUAUGUAGUCUGAUACUGAAAGCAUAUUUUUCUAUCAAACCUUCUUUAGUCCAGUGCCUAGUAACUAUACUGGCUACAGUGGAUAGUUUAAGCAUCUCACUCCCUCCAGUAAUUGUAUUAAUUAUUUUUUGACAUAUAUUUAGUUUAUUUUGCAUUUUUAUUUAUUUUUUUAUACAUGUUAAUAAUGUAUUUUUUUCAGAGAUGUACAUAGACAUGCCCUCUCAUCAUAUUCUAUAGUUUUUUUAGGCUAUUAUUAUAUUAUUUGUAUCUAGUGUAUUGGAUACUUUUUUUUUCUUUUUGCAAAAAUCUUCCUGGUUUGGAAACUUAUGUACGGUAUAUUCCCUUAAUAGGGGUUAUUUAAUCCUCAACUCUGACCAUCGGUUUACAAUUUUUAUUCUUGAUUGUGUAUUUCUCACUGUGUAUCAUUUAUUGCCCACUAUAUAUUGUAUAUAUUGUACAGAUUGUAUGCUAUGCACGUAUUAUAUCUGUUUAACAUUUUCUCGGUAGUCCUGAGCACAAUGGGGAUAAAAGUAUCUAUUAUUCGUCCUUUGGAAUUAGGAGGCUGACACAGGAUAUUUGUUACACUUUAUUUAUUUUACUUUUUCACUAUUCACUUAGCACCCUGCAUGAUGUUCACGCAAUACACUUGUUUCAUCCAUUUUCACAGGCUUCCUAUUUCCUCUGUCAUUCUCCUCCGUUCCAGCAGAUCACAUUGCUUGUACUGUCUUACACAGUUUACCUUAGAAUGUUGCCUGGCGUCCUAUCGGGUUUCCAUAGCAACACCACGUGGUCACGCUACUCGCGUUUUCCUCACACUUCGGGGUUCUCAAUCUCGCUGGGGAGUUCACUUCACGUACAUUGAUAAGUCAUAUUGCCCUUAUUCAUAUAUAUACACUGUUGUUAUGUAUGCAUUUUUGAUCUUGAGAAAGACCUGAAUAGGUCGAAAUGUUGAUCGUUUUUUUUUUUGCACAAUAAAUCAGAAGCACGAUAUUAAGCCCAGGAGUGCACCUUUAUUUAAUUGUUUUUUAUAUAUACGCGGGUUUGCACCCUGGCAGAAGUCUUAUAUUUUGUCUAUAUAAAUAGGAAGAGUGCCGAACUUAUCUUUUUUGAUAUAUACUUUGUGUAUUUUAAUAUUAAUAUAAUUACAUAUAUGAAUAUUAAAAUACACUUAGAAUGAAGUUACACGUAUAUAUAAGUCAUAUAUAUGCAUAUACUUACAAUAAAAAAUCUAUAAAAUAAUAAAAUAAAGAAAAAAUAAUUUUUACAAAUAAAAUAAAUUAUUUAUACACAUUUGUAAUUUCAUUCUAACUUUAUUUUGAUAAUAUAUAUAUAUAUAUAUAUAUAUAUAUUUAUUUGUAAAGAAAUACACUUAGAAUGACAUUUUCUAUCUAUCUAUAUAAAUAAUUACAUAAGUAUACACAUAGAAUUUAAAUACAUAUAUAUAUGUAGUUGUCUUAGGUGCUCAUGAUAGUACAGAGUAAAAUACCAUAAUGAAAUAUAGGAUACUAAAAAGAGCAAGUCGGUUGUGGUGUGCCGGAACCAACGAUGAGGUAGGCCUGAGAAAGAAGAGGGCUUACCAAGGAAAAAGAAAUAGAAAGGAAAAUAAUGCUAAAAAGUGGUGUGGUGGGAGGGUCAUUCAACGCUGACCUCGAAUGGUAAGGAGCAAGGCAAGGGGUGUGCCUUAAGUAGGCUAGGAGUGGAUACCAAGCACCUCCCACAAAUACAGGCCAAAUUGCCUUAAUACUUGUGUUAGGUGCUUAUGAUAGUACAGAGUAAAAUACCAUAAUGAAAUGUAGGAUAGUAAAAAGAGCAAGUCGGUUGUGAUGUGCCGGAACCGACGAUGAGGUAGGCCUGAGAAAGAAGAGGGCAAAAAUUAAGUAAUCAAAUUUAUUACAGACAACCAAUACAGAUACGUAUAUUAACCAGACAUGUUUUUGAAAGCAUAUCUUAAUUCUUGUACUGGGUUCGGUAUGUACCGUGAGUAAGCGGAUGAUUUCCAGCGCCCCAGUGUUUUUAUAACAUGAACUGAAAUGUUGACACUGGAGGCUGUGGAGGCUGCCCCUAUGCGGAAGGAGUGCCCUGAGUAGUUAGCUGCGUUGAGGCUCAGUUGAGUGAGUAAAGACCUGACGUAGGUCAUGAAGGUUGUAGUGGUGAGUACCGAACUUUGUAAUAGGAAUAAUGGUUGUGAUGGUAGUAAAUUAUGGUGCUGUAUGUAUGCAUCAAUAAUCUUGACAGGGCACCACCUGUUGUGCGUGGGAUAGUAUGUUAUUUUUACUGGUGCAUGCUGACUGGUUUUGGAGUGAGGUAGAGUCAGGAUGUAAUGAUCCAUGUGUUUUGUUAAGUGGGAAUAGAGGAGAAUAGGAGUAGUUUGUGUCACGUUGGUUGUAGUAAUUCUCUAGGUCUUAGGAAUCCAUAGAAAGCUAUGUAUAUUGCUGCUUUGAUGACAGAAUUUGUGUUGGUGUCAGAAGGUUUUAAAUCAAGCAGGUCAGACAAUGCUUUGAAGAUAUGGUUGUCUAUGGGUAGCCUCUGUUAUGUACGUGUGGGUUCAGAUCUCUGAAUGCCUCUGAAUGCCUCUUAAUCUGGUGAGAUGCCAUGAAACUUGUGUUGUUUGGUUGUAAGAUUAGCAUAUGGUGUUGAAUGCCUGUGAGAUAAAGUUUGAUGGUGUUGUAUGACAUUUUAAGUUUAAAAUGGCAAAAAGAAGCAAAACCCAAAAAAGAUGUCAUGACAAAAGGUUGCAUGAUGUUAUGUUCCAAAAGGAAUCUUUUGAAUAAUGUAAAAGCCCUGUUGUAUGUUUUGUGCGUAUUUUUUUGACAGUGCCAAUUGGGACAGUGCCCUGCCAUGAUGCAUGAUGGUGUCUAGUCCAGUAUUAGUUGUUGACAUGUUGGAGUAGAGGUGGCUGUGAGCGCAGCUGACGGGAGUGCUUGAUGAAAUGCCUGAAAUUUUAAACGAGAAACUGUCAGCAGCUGUGUUACAUAUACCUGGAACAUGGAAACAAUACAGGAAGAAAUUAUGACUGGCCUCCAACCAAGUGAGUUUCCUCAGAAAUCUCAUGACCGUAAGGGAUUUGGAACCGCCUUUGUUGAUGAUGUGACAGGUUGCCUGGUUAUCUGAGUAGCAACUUACUGGCAUGUUUGUCCAUAAAUGACCCCAUGUUACGGCGCCCGCCACGAUGGGAUAGAUCUCAAAGAGAGCUGAGGUAGUGGAAAAACCUUCAAAAUCCUGAACUGCUGUAGGCCAGCUGCCCCAAAGCCAUUUGUUCCCAAAAAUUGCUGCAAAACCUGUGGUAGAUGCCGCAUCUGACCAAAUGGUAGGUGAUGAGUCAGUCAAUUGAGGGAGGAACAUACUUUUACCAUUCCAAGUGGUUAAAAAUUCCUUCCACACGCGUAAGUCUGCCGUAGCUUGAGUAUCUAAGGACAACCUGUGUGUGUUGUGUAGGAAGAGUGGAAAAAGAUACAAGAGUCGUGAAAUGAAGGAGCGGCCUUGAGGUAUGAUACGCAUGGCAAAAUUUAGUGAACCCAGCAGGGACUGUAGUUCUUUGCGGUUGCAAGUACCGAGCUGAAGGUAGUGGUUGAUGUAGGUAAGAAUGUUCUCUAUCUUGUCGUGUGGCAGGCUUGCUUGCAUUGUGGUUGAGUCUAAUUGAAUACCCAGGAAUGUGAUAAUCGUGUCUGGCCCCUCCGUUUUCUUAAGGGAGAUUGGGACACCUAGCUGCUCGAAUAGCUUGGUGGUAGCUUUGAGGCUACUGGGAGGGGAAGUAUUCUCCUCGACCAGUAAGAAAUCAUCCAGGUAAUGUAAUACAGUAGGGCAUCUGGCUAUGUUCAAUAGUAACCAGCACAAUGCUUCGGCAAAUGUGUUGAAAAUAGCUGGGCUACUUUUGGACCCAAAAGUUAAACUGGAGAAAAAAUUGUAGUUCCCGGACAACUUGAUGCCAUGCAGGUUCCACAGUGUGGGUGGAUUGGCAGCAAUUUAAAGGCAUUAGUAAUAUCGGUCUUACUAAGCCAUGCUCCGACCCAUGCUUGUAUGAUAGCUGUAAUGGCAUGGUCUAUGGUGGUGUAUUGCAAGGAGAAUUCUUCGGAGGGUAUGAGGGAAUUAAGACUGGGGUUAGCCGAUGACUGUGGUGCAGAUAGGUCAAUGAUGAGUCUCUGUUUAAGGGAAGAUUUCCCUGUGACAAUACCAAUGGGAUUAGUGCGCCAUUCUUUGAACGGAGGAGCCUUGAAAGGCCCCAAUAGGAAACCCUCAGCAACUUCUUGGACUAUGAGAGUGUCAACAGCUGUGUGGUUGUGUUGUGCGGAUUGUAGAUUAGGGCAUUCCAGAAUCCCGGACAGUAUGUGUAGAAUACCCGCAUGGAAGCCUUCUGUUAAACCAGAGAUAAGAAAGUCUACCAAGUGUUUAGACGGGUGAUGUGACAGAAAUGCUGUAAAUACCGAAAUAUCUAUGGACGUUACGUAAGGCUUACAGUACAUUUUAUUUUGGACACAUGGUUUUUGCAUGUGCCCUAAAACAUUUUAAACAAAUAUGCAAUAAUCUGCAACCGCUUUAAUUACAAGACCCAACAUUGAAAUUAUUGCAUAUCUGGGACUUGCGCAGAAACUUGAUUGGGCGUCCCUGUUUAUCUCUGGUCAAUUUCUCUGGAACACCAGAGGAACUAGCUCCUUGCGUGGAGGCAUGUUCGUCUGCCGUGUUGGGACAGAAAUUUGUUGUAUGUGCCGUAGUGGAGCAAUAUGCACAAGCCGGUGUUCUUAGACCUGCAAAGUGUCUGCAAAAUAUGACGGUAUCAAUCCUUCCCCAGUUGGAUCUUGUUCCAUACUGGGAGAAGGCUCCAGACACUUUUGCAUAAAAAGACCUAUGGUAGUCAUAAAAGGCUGAUCCACCAUAUUUGUUGCCCAGGUCUACCAGCUUGUGCAUAUAAAGAUCAAACUCCUCUCGUCUAUUGGAAUAGACCGCACAGAUGACAUCCCGGUAAAUACCAAAAGCCAGUACAAACUCGGGAAUAGUCAGUUUCCUGUUUAGGCUGGCGUACCUAGAUCUGACAACAACAGACACAUCAUCAUAAGCAUAAGUCUUAUUCUCCACAAUAUCCUGGGAGGCAAUCAGCAGAGAAGCCAGGUUGACGUCUUUACCUUCCAGGAUAUCUCUUUUUAUGUGCUCAGGGAUCAUAUCAGCAAGGCUAACUUCCUGGUCAACCUGGGUAAUGGCUGGAGCAACUAAUAGUAAGUCGGCUGGUGCUUGUGAAGCAGCAGCGGGUGGCCCUGCUAGAGUAAGGGCCGUGGUGACCGACUCAAGUUUCUUCAGCCUGGAGUUGACCUUGCUCAUGGAUGCCAUGAGUGAUGACAACAUGGAAUGUAUGUCUCCUGGGUUGGAUUGGCUAGGUCCUUCCCCGGCAUCCAUGUUGUUAGUCCAAGUACUUAGCAGUUUGAAAAGUUCUGCUUUCCUUGCUGUAGCGGGGUAGGGGAUUUGCCGCCUCCUCAAUUCCGUAGUUAUACGAAGGAUCGUCCAGGAUCUGAUUGAUGCUGGACUAGUUACCUCUCCUCCUUGUGUAGGAGUGAUAGCUCUAGCCGGAGUGCUAGGCAGGAAGAAAUCCUCUACCCCCUCCUGAGACAUACUAAAAACAAAACAAUUAGUGUAUGAAAACCACCAAGAUCGUACUGGCAGGCUAGCUAAGCCGGAUGGCGAAACAUUACACUUGUUUGGUGACAGAUGAGGCCCUACAAGUUGCCAAGUGGCUUGAGAGGCUCUAUCUAUGCGUUGGCGUGAGGGGAUUUGAGGCCACUCGUCAUAGUGGCAGGAUUGUAGGCCUCUCGGUGACUGUAACACAGAAAAACAGGGAAAGGGAGUGACAGGUGAGGCCCUCUCUAUGCGACAUGCGAGGCGACUAGCUCACGUGUGGCCCGAUGGGUGUUCUCCGAAACGUUGAGGCCUGGCGGGACCACUAACUGAUGGCAAAUGCUAUUGGGGAGCCUUUGAUCCUAUUGCCAGUACUCUAACCUAGAGGGGAGAAAUGAAAUGUAUGGCAGAAUACCAUAUGAGCAGGCGUACGUACCUGGUAGUAUGAAUAUCUCACAUCGAAUUUGUGUGGUGAAAUAUAUAUAAACCUGGACAGCCUGAAACGGGUUAAAAAAAAAGGGUAAUAUAGUAAGUGUGGACUGUGUGGGAAUGAUGUAGACUAUGUAGCCCGUACCAGCGGUGUUUUUUAAGGGCUGGAUUGGAGUUUUAAUUGGUAAAGGAAGUGUAGUGAUAUACCAUGACAAUAUAAAUGUGUUACAAAGCCCAAGUGAUGACGUAUCUUUAAUGCCAUUAUUCUGGCUAGAAACGGGGGGGGGGGAUGUAUGAUGGGUGUCAAGUGAAAAAGAGGAUGAGCUGGAGGAGGCCGAGGCCUAUAUGUAAAUGCGUUAUGCUGAUAUAUAAUUGACAACAACAAAAGGGGCAGGGAUGAAAACAAUUCUUUGAAGUGAUGUAAAGUUGUAUAUAAUAUUAUUGUAAUGUAAUAGACGUAUGAUUGGUUGGAUCAGUAUGUGUGAUUCAACCCGAGAAUUCAUGACUUGGAAAAGGAAACUGUAUCCUUAUGUAUAUGUUGUGUCGUAGUUUAAAACACAGAAAUGAGGCCUGUAAUUGUAGGCUGAACCAACUUGACUGAAAUGGAUAAGUAUGGAAAACCCCUGAAAGCGUGGGAGUCAAAAUGAUCCAUACAGAUAUGUGAGCUGGUUUGUUAUGGAAACCAAUACAAUACUGAUAACUCUAAACAGUAAUAGAAUUAUUCUAUAUCUAUUUAAGCAAAGCAAAUCGUUAACCGAAUGGUAUAUACAUGAAAUGAUGAAUGUAAUCCACGAAAGGAUUUAUGCGAAAUACAUUUAGCAAGAAAAACUGAAACCCUAUGGCAAGGGAAACAGAAACUGAAACGAACAGUUUAUACGCAUGAAAUUUUAUUCGAACGUACAAGCGUGUUUAAGCAUAUCAUAAAUAAGUAGCGAAUGGCGAAACAACCGAAAGGAUAACUUGUUUCACUGCAACACGGAACAGUUUUAUGCGAAAUGACAACCUUUAACUAAUAUACUGAUUAGCCGAAUACCGCACGAAAUGAAACCGCGAACGGCUUGUUCAAUUGCCACAUAACAGGGAAAAAAACGUAAAGCGAGGACCCGUGCUGUACCGGAUGCCGUGGUAACCGAUCCUGGCGUGACAGGUAGGUCUAACUUACGGGUUAGCAUUUAUGGUUGGUACAGCCUGUUAAUAAUCUGUCUUAUUUCACUGUUCAUCACUACUUACAUUGUUUUUAACCCUUCCUGGACUCCGCACAGGCCUGGUCAAGUGUACUUUAAAACAAUGUUAAACAAUAAUUAUGUCUGUUUUAUGGUUAUAUAGCCAUAUUGAUGGAACCUAAGUAUGUUAUUAGUAUUUACAAAUGAAAAUGAAGGAAAGGGACCUCAGUUGGGAAAAAGGAAAAAUUUGCCAUUUAUUACAUGUGAGUUUACAGAGGAAGAGGUUUUAUUUCAACUGUCAAAAGUAAAGACAAAUAAGUCAAUGGGACCGGAUAGAAUACACCCAAAGUUAUUAAAAGAGCUUAGUGGUGUACUAGCAAACCAUUAACAGAUUUAUUUAACAAAUCAUUGUUAACAGGAGUAGUCCCAGAAGAUUGGAAGUUAGCGAAUGGUGUGACCAUUCACAAGAAAGGUAGUAGGGAGGACUUACUAUAGGCCAGUAAGCCUUACUUCAGUAGUGGGGAAAGUAAUGAAAUCCAUGUUAAAGGAGAGGAUUGUUGAACAUUUAAAAAUACAUGGAUUUCAAGAUCAGAGACAACAUGGGUUUACAUCAGGAAGAUAAUGCCAAACCAAUCUUAUGAUUUUUUUGAUUGGGUAACUAAAAUAAUAGAUCAGGGUGGUGCAGUAGACAUUGCUUCCCUAGAUUUCAGUAAGGCUUUUGACACUGUUGCUCAUAGAAGACUCACACACACACACACAUACAGCACACACACCCACACACACAGCACCUACACACAGACACACAGCACGCCCCCCCACACACACAAAGCACACAUACAGCACCCACACACAUACAGCACACACAUACAGCACCCACACACAUACAGCACCCUCACACGACCCUAACAAAUGCACACACACACACACACACACACACAAACACAAACACUCUCACACACACACAGCACACAAACAGCACCCUCACACAUACAUCACACUAACAGCACCCUCAUACACAGCACCCUUACACACACACAGCACCCUUGCACACACACAACACCCUCAAACCACCCUCAUGCAGCACACACACACACACAGCAGUGUAUGUAUGUGUGUGUAUAUAUAUAUAUAUAUAUAUAUAUAUAUAUAUAUAUAAUGUGUGUAUGUGUAUAUAUAUAUGCACACCCUAAUGCAAUAGGCUGCACACGCCUAUGGGCAGAGUACAGAAUAUUUGAUAGUCCUAACCUCAACAUCUGAGGAAAGGGCUUUAGGGGUGAUUAUUUCUGAUGACAUAAAGGUAGGCAGACAAUGUAAUAGAGCAGCAGGAAAUGCUAGCAGAAUGCUUGGUUGUAUAAGGAGAGGUAUUAGCAGUAGAAAGAGGGAAGUGCUCACGCCAUUGUACAGAACACUGGUGAGACCUCACUUGGAGUAUUGUACGCAGUACUGGAGACCGUAUCUUAAGAAGGAUAUUGAUACUUUAGAGAGAGUUCAGAGAAGGGCUACUAAACUGGUUCAUGGAUUGCGGGAUAAAACUUACCAGGAAAGGUUAAAGGAUCUUAACAUGUAUAGCUUGGAGGAAAGACGAGACAGGGGGGAUAUGAUAGAAACAUUUAAAUAUAUAAAUGGGAAUCAACACAGUAAAGGAGGAGACUAUAUUUAAAAGAAGAAAAACUACCACAACAAGAGGACAUAGUCUUAAAUUAGAGGGGCAGAGGUUUAAAAAUAUCAGGAAGUAUUACUUUACUGAGAUUGUAGUGGAUGCAUGGAAUAGCCUUCCAGCUGAAGUGGUACAGAUUAACACAGUAAAGGAGUUUAAGCAUGCGCGGGAUAAGCAUAAAGCUAUCCUAACUAUAAGAUAAGACCAGAGACUAAUGCAAGUAUUUAAAGUAUUGGGCAGACUAGAUGGGCUGAAUGGUUCUUAUCUGCCGUCACAUGCUAUGUUAUUUUAACACUUCAAAUCAAGACAUGCCACGAACCAGGUCUGCCACUUGGGUGUCACUAAUAACAUGCUAAAUUGCAACCGGUCUACUCAAAUAUUUGUAACAUUCAUUAAACCCCAUUUAAGUGUAUCAAUGUGCACCUGGAACUUCUCAAUAGGCCUUCAUUUGGCCACCCUGCAUAUGGUUAUGUUGGGCCCUCAUUUAGCCUUCGCUGUCAUAAGAAAGUGUAGGGUUUGCUAAACAGUGUGAAAACAAUAUAUAUACUUAUCAAUAGAGUGGUAACUGCAUACAUGUAGAGAAUAUAACAAAAAAAGCAAUCUUUAAUGCCAAAAAAAGUCAAAACCUUUCAUGCAAAAGAAGUCAUAGAAAAAAAAAGUGACAUCCCACAUAUACAUUUAUAUUAGGCCCUCACUUGGCCUUCCACAUUAUAUGCUUCAUAUGGCCAACACUGGGCAACCUCACAUGAUCAGUGCCAAGUUACUCAAAUGUCUCAUCGUUAUUAUCGCUCAUUAACUGUCCUACCAUUCGUACCUCAUAGACGUUCUGAUAUGGAGCAGGUCUGCCAUUUUGCAUCACUAUCUGUAAAUUGUACCUGCUCCACAGCUCAACAACCAUUAAACAACCCAUGUCAUAUCACUUCAUACACCUGCUAAUUCUCAUAAAAUGGCUACCAUGCUACUCAUGAAUCGCAGUGAGCUCUCUCGUCCUUCUACUUCUAUACCUUGACAUACGGAUCUCACUAGGCCUUCACUGACAUAAGCUUCCUACAGUCCUAGGUGGGCUUACAGCUACAACCUAACCUUAGCCUUCCUGUUGCUCAGGGGUUAUAUAUUGCCCUAUUAUACUAUAUUUAAGUACACCACUCAGUGUAAAAAAAAAAAAAAUCAAUAAAACCAGAUUGAAUACCAGAGCAUCACUACUGUCCAUACGCAGUUCAUAGUCCAUUUCUCAACUCCUACAACUUUGGUACAAUUAACCUACAUUGUUAAUGCCAUAAUCAUUACUUUACAUACACCAUAUUAUACACCCGGCAGCUCGAGACUUACAUUUGGUAAUAUUGACCUUCCGCUGCAAUACCUCUACACAUGGCAAUCAUUAGACCAUCACUCCAUACAUUACAUAUGGCCCUCUGUGGGCAGUCCAUACGUUCUGCCACACAUUACAUACAUUUUCAGCAUUUUCAGCUUGUCAACUACAACCCUAUUAUACUACAGUUGACUAUUUAUUCAUCUAAGCCGUGUUAGGCACACACAAUUCCUUCCUUUACAACACUCUCUCUGCACUCCUGAGAACCAAGAACCCCUAAUUACACAUUUAACCAUAUGCAGAGAUGAUCCCAUCUUUCUCAUACAUACUUCAGGUCCUUUUUGUGGAAGUAUUCACAGUGGAAAGUCAUAAUUAGACAGAGCACUAAUAAGUAUCUCAUAUCCAUAUUGAUAAUUGUGACGGACUGCCUGGCACUCCGACCGAGUGCCUCUGCCAAUCAAUGCUCCUAGUGCUCACCGAGGAAUUCCAGCACUCCACCAGACAGCAUAAGCACUGCAGACCCCACUUCCAGCGAUGCAGCUGCGCUGGGGUCUCGCCGUUCUUCACCCACCCUAGACCCAAGACCGGGAUCCAGCUUCCAGUGAGCAGACCUCUCCUACUCCUAGAGAGCGAAGCAGGAACAGCUCUUAUAAGAGCUAGUGAUUAUAAUUCCUCGGAGGUAUAGCGAUAUAGCAAUCCCCAGGAUAGAUACAACCAUUUCCCCCACACAUGAGAUAAGACUCUAUGUUGAGGGUAAGAAGGAACAGAAUUUUAAUGGAGGCACACUGGCCUUUUAUGCAAGUUUUCGAACAAGGGUAACACCCAGGUAGACCUUGUUGGGCACAGGGACACAAAGUGAAUAAACCAAUAAAAACAGAGUCAUACAGUGAGACACAUCCACAAACAAUAGAAUCCAUCCUCUGUGCUUGGGAGAUAAUUGAAUCAGGAACUGUACUAAUCUAACUCAAUUAUCUCCAAGCACAGAAAAACAUCCAGUUUUAUGAAACCCCAAAAAGUAUCUUAAAAACACAUAAAACCCUAUAAAAGUUACAUCGCCCGAUAGCCCCAAUCUGGGUGAACAACAUAUCCAAAAAUCACCCAGAUCAGUUCAGGAACUUGCACAUGGUCCUAUGCCCAAAACAGUUCCUGGGAAAUCAAUGCUAACAGUCUGUCAAGUUUGGUAGUCUUUUACAGGAUUCCCUGUAGGGCCCACAGUCUGUGGCAGGAGGCUGGCAAGCAGGCCCCUCCAAGUACAAGUACAAGUAGCGAGGUUACUUUCGCCACAAUAAUCAUAUGUUCCAUUAUUAUCUAGGUUUCUACUAUCCCCACUUAUCAUCCUGUUGUUAAUGCUUUAAUCCUUAACCACAAAACAGGUACUUUAUACCCUUACCUCAAUAAGCACUUACACCAUACUGGACAUAUUUUCAUUAAUGUUGCCAUUAUGUCUUUACAUUCCUGUCUAUGAUAUUGUUUUCUCACUCUCAACCACACACUAGUUGGGCAAGAUAUGUACAUUCCAACAUACUUUCUAUCAAUUCAUUACAUUUCUAUUCCCCUACAUCACUUUGGGAUAGUUUAACUGGCUGUUAAGAGUAUUGGUGUGGACAAUAUUAUUGUAUAUUUGUAAUUCAAUCACACAAGGCCUACACCCAUCCUCAUUCAGAGGUAUUUGUCCAAUGGUCUAACUCAUAGCUUGAACCUUGCUCCUACAUCACUAGUUUUUAGAUAGGGCCUCACAUGCCACAGCCACUUCUUUGAAUCUCUUACUUGUCACUGAGAGGCCAACAUUCCGACACAUUGUUCAGUGGCCUCAGACCAGUGGCCAAUCAUAGCUAGAUCCUCUCAGAGCCACUUGGCACUCAGUAGGGCCUCACAUAUCCCUCAUUUGGCAAAGUUUUUACCAUUUAGCAAUAUGCAAGCCACUAAUUAAUACAAAGUUAUACUAUCACCUACAUGACGGUCACAUUUACUCUACAUAUAGAUGUUGCACACCUCCGAGCUCUGAAAUAAAGGUGUGUCAUUUCCUUCUUUGGCUCAGAAAACUGUGCUGUAUAGACUCUGGUUUCUAGCUCUGGACUCCCCUACCUUGUGUCAGCACCCAAAUGCAAUGAAAAAUGCAAAAAACAAAUAUAAACGCUAACUUUGGCCAGGUUGUGAUUAAGUGGCUAUGAAAAAAGUUUAAACUUUUGAGCACAACUGUUUAUAUAUUUGUGGUGGAGCUACUGUACCUCUGUCCAGUUUACUUCCUAGCUGCUUGAUGGAACCCUGUAAUAUUUCAGUCCUAGUCACUUGACUAGGGACUCUCUGAAGCCUUCUCUUUCCAGGCAGGUAACCUCCCUUCGGCCUAUAACUCUGCAUUUCCCUCCCAAGAAUGUAUGCACCUCUGACUGCAAUGUUAUAGCUGUUGUCUUUAGAGGCCUAAAGACAAUUUCUUUUUAUUUGCCCCGGGCUAGAGGGAUCGUGCAGCCAGCAAACAGAUCUGAAGACUCUGUUACUGGUAUCCCCCCAAAAAAAAACACACAGAAGGACAUAGUUCCAAAAGUAACUUACAAUUUUUUUUUAUUUUUGGACAAGUACUAACCUUUGGGGACUAGUCCUUAAGCAUGUAGUGACAAAUAUUUAACAUAUAAAUAUAUACAGAACAUUAGCAAAUGAACAAUUAAAAGAGAAUACAGAAUGCCAGGUGUCUCUAAUACAAUGGGUUGGGCAUCUGUGCCAACUGCUCAGCUUUCUGGUAUUGCACUGGUGAAGAACGAAGUCUGCUUCAACAGUACAAAACACAUAUCUUUACCUUUUAGAAAAUGGGAACAGAGGCCAGUGGCACUCAGUCCCGACGCCACUGCUUUAGCUGGAGGGAAGUGUGUGGGGGGGGGGUGAGCACCACCACUCUCACACCUGCAGGAUCAACCGUGAGUUGGGUACAGAGGUCAUUCGAACUCAGUCCCGAUGCCAGUGCUUCAGCUUGGUUUGUGGUGCUGCUGGUGAAAAAGCGCACUCAGCUUCUCUCCCUGGUGCAUAUUCGGCUACUGUGGAAUGAGGAAGUUAACCUCCCCUCCCUGGAAUUCACACUGCCGCUUGGCUGAGAAGACUAAUUACCUCUCUGCCCUGGGUUGCACACUGCUGUUGGGGAGGGAUGCCAACACUCUCCUCUCCCAGUGACUCCAACUGGGCUAGGGAGGGAGUUCAACACUCUCCACUCCCAGUGACUCCAGCUGCCAUUGAGGAGGAUGACACUCUCCGCUCCUGGUAACUCAAGCUGCCGCUGGGGAUGCAGACACUCACACAGUGCGGUAGCUGCUGAGAGGUCCAGCAGGCCUUCCUUAUCAUCACAGAAGUAGCUGAAUCAAAUUUCUUCAGGGCUUCCAAAAUCCACCUCAAAAGCCUCCCACAACAGACCAAGCCAUUACACUCCUCACCCUCUGGCACAUUAUCCUCAACCAUCCUCGGGUAUUGCCAGACCACAUAGCACCAUAAUGCCUAGUAAGCAUCGUCCAGCCACAGUUCCUUCCAGACCAGGCUCUUGUGUUCCAUCACCCACUCCUCUAGGGGAUGCUCUACCAGGAAAAGCAUCCGCAGAUCCACUUGUUCCUGAAGGUGCUGCUCUCGGCUUGGGAGGCUUUCUCUCUGCCACGCCUGGACAAAGCUGCAUGUAGCCUCCACUGGAACUCUUCCUUGUAUGGGGAUGCUGCUUGUGUGCUAGCUCUCUCCAUCUCAGCAAAUUCCAGAAGGCACACUGGGCUCUCAGAAGAUGCGCUGGUGUCCCGGGGGUGAUUCCUCAAUCACUAGGAAUCCAUCCCACUACUGUCACCAAAUGUGGUAAAGCUCCUUUACUCCAACUGAUUACCUCCACCCAGUCUGAUUCCUAGCCACUUGCCAAGACCCUUAAAACUUCAGCCCAGGCAGGUAUCGCCCCCCUGCCUAUUCCGCUGGAGCUCUUUUCUGCCAAGAAAUAAACUUUUGAAACACAAUAAAAAGCAACAAUAUAUGUAUAUAACCACAUAUUUGAUUGCCCUCAUUUCAUUUGUAUACCUGCAUUAUGUAAUUGAACACACUUCCAUUCAGCUAGCAGAGGGCGCUGCAGAGUUAUCAAGUAACAAUGAAUAGUUUGUAUUUCAAUUGCUACCAUCAUAAUCCCCUUCCAGGUACUCUUGGGACCAGUAAAGACAUGAGUGGCACUCAUUUCUUCUCACGACCAGGUCCAGUCUGUGGGCAAGAGGCUUGCAUGUAAGCCUCUCCAAAAGGCAUCACAAUAUAUUCAAUAUAUUCACUCACAGUUAAAUUAAACAGAACUUGGAAAAUAGCAAUAUUUUUUAAUUUCACAAAUGUUUUUACAUUUUAUUCAUAUUAAAUAAUGUUUCACAUAAAAAUAUUUGAUAUGAAAUGAAAGCCUUGUUUCUCCUGAACACAAUUAUAUAUAAUAAUCGUGCGUGCACUUAAUAUGACAGGUGAACAGACAUAUUGAUAAAAUUCUAGUUUUUUUUUACAUUUUGUUUUGAUCAGAACUUGUACUAUUGCCUCCAUCCUUAAUGGGGGAACAGUGUGAGACUGGUUAUGUUACUGCUGUGCCUUGCCAGUGCUAGUCCCAUUUAAACCUAUUUUGAUUCACUGAUUUAGAGUGUGGCAGGUCUUUUUUUUAAUGUUUAUAGAAAGAAAACAAUUUUUUUAACAGUUGUUUCAUUUUUUUGUUAAACUGUCUGUGUCUAGAGACUGCCAGUUACACUAACUUUUAGUGGGCGAUAACCUGCUUAAUUGAUUAAUUGAUCCUAGUGGGAGACUGGUUAGGUUAAUGCUGGGUCUAACUAUUUCCAAUGCCACUUUCACCAACUCUGAUUAAUUAAUUUAGAGUAUGGCAAGUCAUUUUUAAAACUUUUUAAAAAUCCUUUUUUUUCUGAGUGUGUUUAGUUCAGUCUGUGCUGUGCUAGUGCAUGUGCACUGUGCAAGUAUCUAGAUUAGUUUUUCUUGAAAUCAAAAACAAUAGGUUACAUGACAUAUGCAUAGUCUCCUUUUGGCAUUUGCUUAAUUAACCCCAUACCCCCCAAAAAUACUCAGACACCUUGUAUUGGGAAAAUUAAUAUCACAGCUUUAAUAAUAAAAAAAGUAACAUGUAAAUUUAUAAGGUCAUUGUCAACAGGAUACAUAAUACACUAUUGCCCUCCAUACCUAUAAUAUAACUACCCCGACAAUGACCCACAUAAUUAUUGAUACCAACUACAACAUAUAAAUAAAUGAACAUAAACAUAAACCAUUACCAAAGAGGGCAUGCAUUUCCACCUUUCACAAUGUAGGGUUAUACCAAGAUACACCCUACACACAACCUACCAAUACCAUUCCAAACUUAACUGUUCUUAGUGAACUUUUCUAUCCCCCGCCGCCGUGACCAAGCUGGAGCUAUCCUCUAAACAAAGGGAGGGAGGGUGGGACAACAACAGGUGAGGAUUAAGUAAGAUGGCCCCUAAUCUAAAAUGGCACCCUAUAUAUACUCCCUUUACCCAAAGCCCACCACCAAUAUCCACAUAGCCAAUCUACACAUACCCUUAUCCUAUGCCUGUCUCCUUUCAUUGUCAAGGCCCAUUCCCCUUAGCUGCGCUGCUCCAUGGGCUACAGUAUUAGUAUAUCCACCAAGCACAAGCAACAACCCAAUUUUAGACACAAACAUCUAUUUUGGCUUAAAAGUUUUGUAAGUUUACACCAAGCAUGUCAAACUUGCAGCCUUCAAUGGAUAUAUUUGCCCUGGGGGCCACUUUGUGUUGUGGCUGCGACCAGCUGCAAAACAGGAAAGAUACUCCCACAGCCGAUCGCAUGCUCCUGCAGGCCAGCCACUACCUGCUCCCAGUUCCAGAGGAGCGUCUGGCCUGCUUGAGCAGAGAAGAGCAGGAAAUGGAAGAUGGGCAGCUUAUCUCAAGGUAGGGGAAGAGGGGCUUAGGUGACCUUCCUCUGUAGUGUGCUAAAUUAGAGAGAGGGGCAGUGUAUUAAAUUGGGGGAGGGAGUGGGCCAGUGUAUUAUAUUGGGGUGAGGGGGCAGUGUAUUAAUCUGGGGUACAGAGGCCGGAAGUGUAUAAAAUUUGGGGAGGGAUUGGGGCAGUGUAUUAGAGUGGUGGACGGGGAGCAGUGUGUUACAUUUGGGGGAGGGCAAUGUAUUAAUUUGUGGGUGGUAGGGGGUGGGUUUAUUAGAGUGGUGGGAGGGGGGCAGUGUGUUAAAUUGGGGGGAGACCAGUGCAUUGAAUUGGGGGAGGGCAGUGUAUUCAAGUAGAGUAGAGGGAGGACCGGCAAUGUAUUAGAUUAAGGGGCAGUGUAUUAGAUUUGUGGGCAAUGUAUUGGAUUUGUAGGUAAGUGUAUUGGAAUGGGGGAGGGGACAGUGUAUUAGAUUGGCUCUGCACUGAGGCAAUGAAUGCUCCCCAUAGAGAUGCCAAUUAGCUGCGUAGCUUUUUGCCUCACAUGCACAAUAGCCUCCCAAUGGUUUCCUAUGGGAAUGCAUUGGAUUGGCUGAAAUCAUCAAGUUUGAUGAUCUCAGCCAAAGGGAAGAACACACUCAUAGAACUUCAAAUUAACAAGAUAGCGUAAUUUGUUUUUUACAGCUGUGCAACAGCAUACAGUCACCAUUUCAGUCCCAUUACCAAACUUUUCUUAAUAUGUCAAGGCAGUUGGACUGAAACACUGGUUAUAUGCACAUGCACGUCUCCUUAAAAUAAAUUUGCUCUUUUGUUUACUUUGAAACCCUACGAGCGUCCAGGACGUCCAGCGUCAGUUGGGCAACAUUUUUAUACUGUAGUUUUCAUAGAAACAAAGGUUUUUUUUUUAAAGUUUUUUGUUUUUUUGCGCUCACCAAAUUUUAACCCCACGUCUGCCCACGGAGAUGACAACGUCGGCGUGCAUAUGACGUUACGCGGGAGAUGCAUGCGCACGUUCUGGGGUCAUGGGCCGAUUUCCGCCAAACAGAUUUGUAAAAGGCUUUUUUAAAUGCAAUUUUACUUCUCGUCAUUGCCCUGUCAUGGUUUCCCUUAGUGGUUGUCAGAGAGUGUGUUCCUGAGCGUUUAUUUCUGGUUACUGACUUUGGUGUAGACUAAGUGGCUACUAAAAAAGACUGGACAUACCCCAUUUACAAUACCUUGGGUUGUUUACUAUUGCAAAUGGUAUACCAUCAUGGGGGUAAUUUUCAUUCCUGGGCUACCAUACUGUCUCAAAGGCAACGUAACCAAUCUGGCAAAUUUCAAUGUGAAAUGUGAAUAAAAUAAAAUAUACGUAGAAUUAUUAUAUAUAUAUAUAUAUAUAUAUAUAUAUACACACACACACACACACACGUGUGUAUAUAUGUAUAUCAUUUUUUUAAAUUAUUUUUAUUUAUGUAUAGGUAUUUAUAUUCAUAUAUUGUGAUAUAUACGUAUAUACUUAUGUAUAUAUAUAUAUAUAUAUAUAUAUAUAUAUAUAUAUAUACACAAAUUUUAAAAUACAGUUAGAACAAAAUUACACAUAUUUUAUUUAUUUUAUUUUUUAAAGUAUUUACAUUUUAUUAUAUUAUAUAUACACAUUAUUUAAUCAAUAUCAUUCUACAUGUAUUUUGAUAUUAAUAUAUAUAUAUAAUUAUAUAUAUUAAUAUUAAAAUACACUUAGACAGUAUAUGUGUGUGUAUAUAUAUAUAUAUACUUAAAAAAACAGAAUAUCCUUGCACUCAAGCUUAAUAUUAUUGAUAGCCAAAAAUAAUUUUCAGCCAAAAACAGUUUCUACUUGCCGGGUGCCAGUCAUCUAAGGAGAAUUCGAUAUCCACACAAAUAGUAAUUGAGCUGCACUCACGGUCUUCCCAUUCAAAAUAUUUUCUUUAUUUCAUCAAGUAAACAAAUCGACGUUUCGGUCCACACAGGGAACUUCCUCAGGACAAAGUGACCAAAAGCAGCCGACAGCUAGAGAGAUCGUUUUUGUUACAAACUAUCCACAUCUAUCCUAGUCGGUCCCUGUGGCUAAUCCAGAAUAAGGACUAGUACUUUGCUGGUAAUUUUCUUGCAUACCGUUCCUGGCUUGUAUUUUUAGUAUUCUUAAUAUAUAUUUUUUGUUAAUAAACUUCUUGUCAUUUUUAUCCACUUUUUUCUAUUCAUUUUCUUAAAGUGUUUUUUUUUUAGCAAUACCUAUAUUUAUUGCACUAUAGAAAACAGUUCCAUAUACUGUAGUUCUAUUUUAUGUGGUUUAUAUAUUUUUCUAUAAAGUACAACAUCUGGUGGAUACUUCAUUUAUUCUGCUCUUAGCAGAUUUAAAGACAUACACACCAUACAUAUUUGCUGCACUUUUCUCCUGAAUUGCUUGAUCUACUUGAUUUAAUUUUAAUAUUGGUAUUAUCACACUUAAUGUCAAUUUUAUUAUAACCUCAAUAUUAGUGACAUCAUAUUCAAAAGCCUUUUUGGUGAACCAGCUCCUGGAACAAUCACACCAAACUUAGGGUGUCAUUUCUACUACUAUACAACGUAUAUUAAAUGCCUCAAAAAUAAUUUGCAACAAUUUUCCAGGAAGUAUGUCCGGAUCCAGAUGCACUAUAUGGUAGUCCUGGCGUGGGUAGUAGCAGCUCACCAAUGCAGAUGUGGCAUAAAAGGAAUAUAAAAACAACCAACAGUGCUCACUGAUAGUAAAGUAGUAUUAAAAUAAAAUAAAAAAAGGGGGUACUCACAAAAGAAGAGCAAAAAUGGUUUUGCUCAAUCCAAAUAGCAUAGGUGGUAUAAUCCCCACCAAGGAUAUUUCUGGAGUCCUCUUGGAUAAAAUCUUCUAAAAUCAAUUAGGAUGGUCCAAAGUAGAUAAAAAGCAUACUCUUUUUAUUACAUAAAAUAUAAAAAAAAUACCCCUUACGCGUUUCGCCAAAUCACAGGCUUUCUCAAAAGUGUUUGAUAAAAUAUUCUUUUAGAAGAUUUUAUCCAAGAGGACUCCAGAAAUAUAAUUGUUGGAGAUUAUACUAUACCACACAAAAGCAAGUUAGGGUGGGAGGUGUUUUUUUUUGGUUUAUUCUUUGUUUACCAUCAUUAAUAGAUCUCAUAAUCUAUGAUAACAUUUGUCACUUAAAUAAGUUGUCAACGUAUAUUAAAUGCCUAAAAAAAAAAUUAUUUGCACAUUAAAAUAUCACAUUUUGGAAAUUGUGUAUAAAAGUAUUCAUGGGGAAGUGAAAACAAACUAUAUCAUAAUUCAAUAUAUUUUAUGUUUUUGUUUUUAUAGGCCAUCAUAUCACAUCACAGCGCUUAAUAUUAUUCUCCCUGGUGUUAAUACUUCUCUUGCUGUUCACUUGUUUGGAACAAAUUAUUCUGAAGCUACGGUGACUGCAGAAAUUUUGGGACAAGAUGGAAUUUUAUUAGUAAAUGCAAGUAAGAUCUUCUCUAGAGGUAAAUAACAAGCACAUGCAUAGAAUUUAUCUAAUUAACCACUUAGUAGCACAGCUUAAUUUUGCUUGUUUUAUCUAUUUUGUACGUAAAGAACCAAUCUACACCCCUAAAGCACUUUAGCAUACUUUUGCAAGCUUUGCCUUGCAAAGACUUCUCAUUGAACUGCAUUGUAAAGUAUGUGAUUGGACAGCCACAGAAUGUCUGGGCUGAUGAAGAAGGCGAGGCCUCACAAAGGCUGCAAGAAGAGGACUUCAACGUUUCCAAGCUGUUUUUAGAUAAACUACAAUGAACGAAAUGUAUAACUAAGUGCAUGCUGCCAGAGCAAUCUCAUGGCCACAAUAGGAGUCCAUGGAGCUGCCUGUAAUGGGACUGACUGGGUUGUCAGGCAGUCCCCCAAAUGUUGCAAUAAUAAGAAUUAACAAUGUCCAAAAUAAAUAUAUGUAAGGAAUAAUUGACGACAGAAAAAUAAUGCACACCCGAGGUGGUAAUGCGGUCACGACGCGAAGCGAAGUGUCCGUUACACCUCGGGUGUGCAUUAUUUCUUUCUAAUAAUUCAACGGCCUGGAGUCAAUUAUUCUGCUUAUACUACAGUUGCCACACCUCAAAACAUUGUUCAGAUGAUGUAUUUCAAGACGUUUGUCAAGUUUUUGUCAUUAAAACGCUCUUGUAUGUAGGAUUAAUUUCUUAUGCAACUGUAAUGCGUCAAGACCUGUCUGGACCUACUUUAGCCAUGCGUCUCCCUGAAAAUAAUGCACACCUUAGAACGUUCAUCAACCAAUCAGAUUGAAGCAUUCAACGGCCCUGUAGUAUAAAUGUAUGUAUGUAUGUCAUACCCAACCUAAUUAUAUAUAUAUAGCCAAAAGUACAAGAUAGCACUCCAGUGACUUCCAAGUCGAAUGAAUAAAACUUAGCUUUUAUUAGCUCAAAAUAAAAAUCAACGUUUCAGUCUGUGUCACAGACUUUUCAUCCUGCUAUCUUGUACUUUUGGCUGUAUCUGUUUGCCGAUGAGCACCGGGCAAGUACAUCAAGGAAGGUGGAGUGCAUUACUAUUUUUGUUAUAUAUAUAUAUAUAUAUAUAUAUAUAUAUAUAUAUAUAUAUAUAUAUAUAUUUGUGUACGGGAUUAUAAAAGGGGCGUAUACUUAAAUGGAGAGUUAUGUUUUUUUUGAAAAUGAGAGUCGGUUGAGGUGUGCCGAAACCGACGAGAGGUUAGGCCUGUAAAAAAGAGGGCAAAAAUAAGAGAAACAAACAUUUAUUAACACAACAUUAUUUAGACAUGUUACAAAAAGCAAGUCUGAUCUCUUUCUCCGGGUUUGGAAUGUACUGGUUAUACGCGGAGGAUUUCCAGCGGCCCAUUUUCUUUAUAAUAUGUGUUGGCACUUGACUACUUGAGGCUGUUGUGGCUGCUCCGAUGCGGAAUGAGUGUCCCGUGAAGGAGUUAGGAUUGAGGCCUAGUCUGAGGAGUACAGCGCGGAUGUAUAGCAUGAAUUGUUUAGUGGUGAGAGGCUUACCUUGUAGGGUCAACAGAGGCAAAUCUGGAUUUUUAACUCGUUGACUCAGUAUGAACUUAUCUAGUACUUGUACUGGGCACCAGAUGGAACCGGUAGGAAAGUAUUUAAUGUCUACUGGGGGACCUGAUUGGUUAGUUUUUGUGCGGGGAAUAGAUAAUAUGAAAUGAUCAUGUACUCUAGUUAGGUUUCCUUGUUUGAGACAAUCUUUUGUGUCGGAUAUUUUCUCUACUGAAAAUUCUUUAGGUCUGAGGAACCCAAAAAAGGCCAGAUACGCUGCUGUCUUAAUUACUAGGUUAGUGUUAUAUUCAAAAGGAUUUUUAUCUAAUAGAUUGGAGAUAUCUUUAAAGAGGUUACUGUCUAUGGGGAGUCUUUUCAGGGCUACAUGUGCCUUUUGUCUCUGGAUACCUUUUAGUAUACUUUUAACAGGGUAUGUGGACAAGAAAGGGGACUUGUUCGGGAAAAGAAUUAGCAUGAAAUGUUGUACUCCUGUUAAAUAAAGUUUUAUGGUAUUGUAGGCUAGUUUUAAUGAGAGGUGGCAAAAAGUUGAGAAUGCAACCAUAGUUUCUACAGAAAAACAGUUUAUUAUAUUGAAAUCUUGUACAAAUUUUUUGAACAGGUCAAAUGCCCUAUCGUAAGCUUUUUUUGUGUUUUCCGACAAGGCUGCCUGUGCAAGAAUUCUACUAUGUUCUAAUAAUUGAUUUAGAGCAUGAUUAGGUCUUUGAAUUGUGGGGGAUUUAUGGAGUGUUUGUUUGCUGAAGGGUGUAGUUUGAAGAAUUCCUGCAAAUUAAAACGAGACAAAGCAUCAGCUGCGUUAUUUAAGACACCAGGGACAUGGAUACAAUGCAUAUAGAACUGUAAAUUUGCAGCCAACCAAGUAAGUUUCCUUACAAGACUCAUGAUUGGUAGGGACUGAGAACGGCCCUUGUUAAUUAUGUCGCAUGCUGCUUGGUUAUCAGAGUAACAUUUCACUGCUUUCCCCCUCCAAUGAUUUCCCCAGAUGAGAGCUGCCGCUACUAUUGGGAAAAUUUCAAAGAACGCAGAGGUUUUGUCGAAAUUCUCCAGGGUAAGUGUUUCGGGUGGCCAACUGUCGUACAACCACUCGUCCUCAAAUAUUGCAGCGUACCCGGUGGUAGCUGCUGCGUCUGUCCAGAUAACCGGGGACUCAUCUGAUAUGGGGGGAAUAAAAAGUGACCUACCGUUCCAAGUUGUUAAAAACAGUUCCCACAUAUUAAGGUCGGCCCUCGCAGGAUUAUCUAGAUUAAUUCUAGUGCCGUCGUCAGGGAGGCCGUGUAGGAGAGACAGAAGCCUAGAGAUGAAAGACCUGCCUUGAGGGACAAUUCUCAUGGCGAAGUUAAGGGAACCCAAAAGCGACUGUAACUCUUUCCUGGUACAAGACCCUUGGUUGGUGCAGUUGUGAAUGUUAGUAAGAAUUCUGUCUACUUUCGUCUGAGGGAGGCUAGCUUGCAUAGUCGCGGAAUUAAGAGUGAUGCCUAAGAAAGUUAUUUCUGUACUGGGACCCUCUGUUUUGUUUGGAGCUACCGGGACUCCUAAGUCAUUAAAUAGGGAUAGUGCAUUAUUUAGACUAUGUGGCGUGUAGUAGCUAGGCUCGAUAUAUAAAAAGUCAUCGAGGUAGUGAAUUACUACUGGGCACCUGGAAUUGUUUAGUAGUAGCCAGUUUAAGGUUUCUGCGAAUAUAUCGAAGAUUUUUGGGCUACUUUUGGAGCCGAAGGUCAGCCUGGUUCCAAAUUGGAUUUCCCUUCCCACUUAACACCAUGAAGGUGCCAGAGUGACUGUUUAAUUGGUAAGAGUUUGAAAGCGUUUGAAAUAUCUGUUUUGCUCAACCAGGCUGCCUCGCCCGAAUUGAUGAUAGCUUGUAUGGCGUCGUCUAUUUUUGCGUACUGCAGUGAAAAGUCUUCUGACGGUAUGAGAGAAUUUAAGCUUGGGGCUGUGGAAGUAUGAGGUGCUGAAAAGUCGAUUAUUAACCUCUUUUUAUUGUUAAACUUGCCCGUGGCUAUACCGAGUGGACUGGUUCUCCAGGAGGUGAAGGGUGGAGUAGUAAAGGGACCUAUCAUGAAACCAAGUUCAAUUUCUUUAUUGAGGAGAUCCGUUAAAGUGACUGGGUCUGUAACAGCUGAUUGUAGGUUGGGGCAUUCUAGUAUGCCUGAAGGGAGUGCUACCAAACCUGUGUGAAAGCCUGUCGUGAAACCUGAUACGAGAAAGUCUGUCAAGUAGGAAGAAGGAUGUACAGUCAAGUAACGUUGUAAAUUGUUUACGUUUAUUGGGGUCAUAGCUUUUUUAGGGAACAGUUUGUUUGGACACAUGGUUUUCGCAUGUGCUCUGAAACAGAUUGAGCAAACAUGAAGCAAUCUACAAGCGCUGUAACUACAGCCUCCUGCGUUAAAGUUGUUACAGACUUGAGCUUUCCCGAGAAAUACUAUAGGUCUCCCCAACUUAUCUUUCAUUUCCCUUUGAUUAGGGAAAUAAUCCGGACUGGUACUACUAUUAGACGGACCACUUAUAUUAUUUGGACAGAAAUUUGCCGUAUGAGACGCUGAGGCACAUAUUGCACAUGCUGGUGUUUUAAGCCCGGCAAAAUGUCUACAGAAUAAUUCUGUAUCCAAUUGACUCCAAUCGGUGGGGGUGUUGAACUGGGCCAAUGAUGCAGCUGACUUGGCAGCAAAGGACUUAUGGUAGUCGUAAAACGCGUACCCCCCGUAUUUAUAGGCUAACUCCACCAGUUUGUGCAGAUAUAGAUCCAGCUCUUCUCUACGGUGUGGGAAGGCAGUGCAAAUUACGUCUCUAUAUAGGCCAAAGGCUAGUACAAACUCAGGAAUAUUAAGUUUUUUGUUGAGCCUAGGAUCUCUAGUUUUCAUUACCACGGAUAUAUCGCCGAAAGUAUAGGCUCUAUUUUCGAUUAUAUCCUGUGAGGCAAUGAGGAGAGAGGCUAGAUUAACAUCUUUCCCUUCUAGUAUAUCUCUUUUUAAGUUUUGUGGUAUCAAAUGUACUGGGUUGAUUAUAUUAGAUGUUUUAGCAGGGAAUGGAUUGGAGUUACCUCCUGAGCUUGUUUCUGGUUGUCCUAGUGGGACUUGUACUUCCGGAAUGCUAGCUUGACAAGAGGUUUCCAGAUUAUCUAAUCUAUUAUUUAUGGUAGCUACUGAAGCCACCAGGGAGGUCAUCAUAUUACGUAAUUCUGACAAGCUAUUUUGGAUCGUAGCAUCGGAACUGGGGCCUGGUAACUCUACGUCUUGCGAGUUUAAUAAGCGGAAAAGUUCAGCUUUUCUGGCUGUAGCCGGAAAAGGAAUGUUCCUUUUAUUCAGUUCAGCAGUGAUUUUUGGGACAGUCCAGGAUCUGUAGUUGGACAUCGUACUGGACUGUCUUGGCUGACUGCCAGGUCUGGAGGGAGUGCUGGCAAGUGACAGGUCUUCUUCUUGAACUGACUCGUUAGACAUGCUAAGGGCGUGAAAAGAGAUGUUAUGUUAGGAAAUAACUUUUUUUUUUUUUUUUUAAGUGAGUGUGCUGGCUGACUAGCUAGUGCCGCUCUGCGGCGAAGCAAUUACACUAAGCCGGUGACUGGUGAGGCCCUGCUAAGUGCCAAGCGGCUUGAGAGGCUCUAUCUAUGAGUUGGCGCGAGGGAAUUUCGUGGCCACCGAACGUUGUGGCGGGGUGUUGGCCUCUCGAUGAGUAGUAGUCAUAAGAUAGAAUGGGAGUGACAGGUGAGGCCCUCUCUAUGCCACGUGCGAGGCGGCUACCUAUGGAUUGGCCCGAGGGACGUAGUACCUCUGAAUUGAGGAUGGGUGUUGGCCUCGCGGGACCACUAUUUUAAGGCGAGAGAGCCGGGAUGAUAUUUAACACUACUGGGUUGCUAUGACCUUAACAGCCAGCCACCUAAACUAUGAGGGACGAUACGUACGAAAAAGAAAUAAAUAAACGUUCGUUAUCCUUACCUGUAUGCGAACUUGGUACGUACUUGAGUCGCACUAAUGAGUUUGUAUGGUCGGGUGGUAUAUUUUUUUUUUAUUUUUUUUUUAUUACCCGAGCUGAAUCACCUAUUGCAAACAAAAAAAAACAAAUGGGAGGCGUAAACUAGGUGGACUUGCUAAAAAUGUUUUUUAUUUAUUUAUUUAUUUAUUUAUUUAUUUUCACUAACCGGACCGUGAACGUGAAAACCUGCGUAAAUUGGUAGUACUGAAUGACGAAAUUGAAUUCCUAGAAAGGAAAGAAUUGUUUAUAAACAGCGUACGUAAUACCAAUUCGUAGUAAGAUGAAUAACUGGGUAGUUGUAUGAUUAAAUUAAUGAGCAAGUGAACUGAGCUCUGAGUAAUGCCAGUGUACUGUCUGCCCUCCUAUUUUUUUUUUUUUUUGUGUGUUAAACUCUACCCAAUACAUAAUCCUUGUUUAACGCUUUCAUUAAUGGAGGGGUAGAAGUAUGAAAACAGCCAACGGUGGCUAUUAGGCUUACUGGGAGAGCACAUUUCUAGAUUGAAAGAUUCUAAGACUGCAUGUGUUAAUAGACAGCAUGACAUGCCUUGUACACAUAAUAAAUGUAAAUGGUUUUCUAUGACACGUAUAAAGUAUGUAACAUAACAGUAUAACGAAGAAAACAAAUACAUGUACAUUCUAAGUAGAAAGAAACAGGAUGAUACAAAUUGUAAUUGAUAUGCCCCUUUUUACAACAAUGCAACAGUAGACUGAAUCAGACAUAGGUCAGUUUAUUUUGGAAUAAACAUAUAAGCCAGAGGACUCCAAGCACCGUAAGAGCAACUUUAGUUAAAUAAUCAUUUAUAAAGUCGCUUCUUCUUUCUCUGUAAGUGACAGAACAUGUAAUAGCUGUAAGAAAACGAAUGGCAACCCCCCCCCUGUAGAAAAACCCCCAUGCGACCAGUUGCUUAAUCGAACAGUUAUGAGGACUUACAGUUGUUGUAAUCACCGAACGGAGCCGUUCGUGAGCUCUCACUGAGACGCUGGACGUACUCUGUGAGCGACGCGGGAAAGUGACGUCAGAGGUCUGCGCGCACCGGAAGCGAGGAGACGGAUUUCCGGAACCGACGAAGACAGGUAAGUGAGGGUUCCCUGGGCUUAAAUAGGCCUAAAUCCCUCCCACAAUUACAGGCAUACGCCUUCUAUAUAUAUAUAUAUAUAUAUAUAUAUAUAUAUAUAGUAUUCAAGAAGAGAGCACUCUGGAGUCUUAUAAUUUGGAAAGUAAAUGGUCUUGAAAAAAGUUAGCAUUGACUGAAACGUCGACAUCUUUUGUAUUCUGCACAAUAAAGCAGCAUUUACUUUCCAAAUUAUAAGACUCCAGAGUGCUCUCUUCUUGGAUACUAUAUACUGGUUGGAGAUUGUUUGCACCGGAGCACGAAAAGACCGUGAACCUUGAGUGCUGGGAUCUGGGAAUAUAUAUAUAUAUAUAUAUUUUAAAUUUUUUUCAUUAAACUUUGGAUGUUUUAACCCUUUCAUGAAUCCUUGAGUGCUGGUCACCUGCUGCAAGUUGGAUAUUUCAAUUUUCCCUAGGACUUCAAGCACCCGGUAUGUAACUAAUUAGUCAGAGUGCAAGGAUAUCAUGUAUUUAUAUAUAUAUAUAAAAAUCCUGCCACUUCCAUCUUAAAAACAUAGUGCGCAUUCGCCCCUAUUUAACGCCGGACGUGGCUAAGGUGCUGGUCCAUGCCGUUGUUCUCUCUCACCUUGACUACUGCAAUCCCCUUCUCAGUCGUCUUACGUGUUCCCAGCUUGCAUGGUUGCAACCUAUAAUGAAUGCGGCGGCGGAGCUCAUCUGUCUGCCUGCACCUCCAACGCCUCCCCACUCGGUCAGUCCCUACAUUGGCUUCCAGUAAGAUAUAGGGCUCAAUUUAAUAUUCUGGUGCUUGCUAACAAGUCCCUAUAUAAUGCUGCUCCAGCCUACCUAUCCUCCCUAAUACACAAGUAUGACACGUCUAGACCCCUGCGCUCUGCCGAAGAUCUACGUCGAUCCUUUGUCCGUACGCCCACCUCGGAUGCUUGCCUUCAAGACUUCUCCAGGGAUGCACCUUUUCUGUGGAACUCCUUACCCUUCUCUGUUAUGCUUUCACACAUUCUCCAUUCCUUCAAAAAAUCAUUGAAAACCCACUUCUUUAUUUUGUUUAAAUGUCUGUUCAGCCGUAAUUCACUUCUUUCAUAUUAAAUGCACCAACACAUAUUAUAUGUAAUUUUGUUCAGGGGAAACAGGGCUUUCGUGCCACAUCAAAUAUUUAUAUCUUUAACAUCAUUUCAUAUGAAUAAAAUAUUUAGAAAUUAAGAAUUUUUUUUUAGUUCUGCAUGGAAUUUUAACUGGGAAUGUCAUAAUAAUGUUAGCUGUUACUGCAAUAACACACACAUAUUUGUAUUCAGAGAUGUCUCACGAUUAAAACAGUACCCCCCCAUGUAUAGGUUACAGGGGUAAAUACAACACAUUACAUUUUUCAGUUUAUACACAGUGAAAUUUGCCAGACUGGCUUUGUUGCCUUUGAGACCGUAUGGUAGCCUAGGAAUGAACAUUACUCCCAUGAUAACAUACAAUUUGCUAAAGUAGACAACCCAAGGUAAUACAAAUGUCCAGUCUUUUUUAGUAGCCACUUAGUCACAAACACUGGUCAAAGUUAGCAUUCAUAUUUGUUUGUGUGUGAAAAAUGCGUGUGAAAAAUGCAAAAAACUAACUUGAAUGCUAAUUUUGGCCAGUUUUUGUGACUAAGUGGCUACUAAAAAAGACUGUAUAUAGAAUAUAGAAUGCACACUAUAACAAUCUCAAAAAAAAACUUUGCUUUAUUAUGUACAAAAAAGUACCAGAGUGAAAACAUAUAAGAAAAGAUAAACAAAGUGACAGAAGCAAGGGCAAACACAAUAAAACAAUAGUAAAUUACCACAAAAAUUCUUACAAGCCUCCAGACAGAAACACGAGUCACCAAACCCCCCAACGUUUCGGCACCAACUGGCUGCCUUUAUCAAGGGUACCUGAACCUAAAAAAGACUGAACAUACCCCGUUUGCAAUACCUUGGGUUGUCUAUUUUUGCAAAUGAUAUGCCAUCAUGGGUAAUUCUCAUUCAUGGGCUACCAUUCGGUCUCAAAGGCAACAUAACCAAUUGGAAAAAUUUCAAUAUGACAAAAAAAAGGAAAUUCAAGCCUUAUUUUUGACUCAGUAACUUUUGAAAACACCAAAAACCUGUGCAUGGGGGGUACUGUUAUACUCGGUAGUCUUCGCUGAACACAAAUAUUAGUGUUUCCAUAUAGUAUAACGUAUUAUAACAAUUAUAUCAUCAGCGAAAGUACAGUUUGUGUGUGAAAAAUGCAAAAAAUGGCACUUUCAUUGGCGAUAUUAUCAGGUUUUAUAGUGUCCUGGAAAGUUACAGGGUUAAAUAUAGGGCUUGCGAGCCAAAUUCUCUGGACUUUCUGACUGGGUUGUUGGGCAGGUCCCUCAAAUUGUAAUUAAUAAAAUGACAAUUAUUUAAAAAAAUUAUAAAAAUAAAUAUAUAUAUAUAUAUAUAUAUACAUAUGUAUAUAUAUAUAUUUUAUUUUCAUUUUUAUUUAUAUAUAGAUGUAUACCCAUUUGGAGACAAUAAGCUGAGUUAUAGUACUGGUAUAAGUUGUUGUGGUGUGACGAAUCUGAUGUUCAGAUAGGCCUGUAAAAGAGGGCCCACUAAGUGAAUGCUUAAUAAAGGGUGUGCUGGCUGGGCUGAACCCUGAAGUUUCAGCCCAGAGGAAGGGGAGGCCUGUGAAUUUAUAGGCCAGAUAAACCCCUCCUACAACUAUAGGCUCCGCCUUUCCAUUUGUAGUCGGGGACAAUAAGCCAAGUUAUAGUAGUGGUAUAAGUCGGUUGUGGUGUGCUGAUGUUUGGUUAGGCCUGUAAAAGAGGGCAAAAAGCUAACAGUUUAAUCCUUAGUACGUGUCGACAUUACAUAACCAGUACUUUAAAUGCCUGCCUCAGUUCCCUCUCCGUUUGAGGUAUAUCUGUUGUAUGUAGAUGAUUCCAAUGUCCCAGUUUAUAAUGUGAGCUGGGAUGUUUACUAAAGGCUGCAGAAGCAGUGCUUAUUCUAAAUGAAUGACCUAAAUAUGUUGAAGGGUCAUAUCAGAGUUUUAUGAAUUGUGUCCUGGCGUACAGGAUGAAUUUGAUGUAGUGAGUGGUUACCAUGUAACCUUAAAAGACAGCGUAUGCCUGUGUAGUCCUGUGAGUGUCAGAUAAUUGGUCUAGUAUGUUGACCUGGCACCAUUUAUUGUUGAUAGUAUGUAGGUAUAUGUCUGCAGGUAGGUAUGAGAUAAGUGUGUUUGUUAGCUAAUUUAAGGUUGAGGUGGCAAAAGGAUGUGGAUAUCACCAUGGUAUCGAUGGAGUACGGAUUUGUGAUUUGAUAUUCGGAAGUGAACUUAUUAAAAUGGCCAGAGUACUGGUAUAUAAAUGGUUGGUGUAAGCAGAGAGAGACGCAUGUGCCAGCAAUCUACCAUGACCAUGAGAUGAGCUAAUCCAGAAUGAGAUCCUGGAAUGUAGGAGUUUUAGUAUGUGGUUAAGCAGCUGUGUAAUGUUUGGAGGAAUAUCUGAAAUGGGAUUGAGACAAGACUUCAGCUGCUCUGUUGUGAUAGGCUGGUAUGUGUAUGCAGACAAGGUAAAAUUGCUGUGUUGCUGCUAGCCAAGUAACUUUGCACACUUCUGUGUUUGAGUAGUAAUUGACAGACUUCUUCCCCCAUAGACACCCCCAGGCUUGUGCAGUGGCUGCGGGCCAUGUGCCACAGGACUAGUUGUCCUUGAUAAUGACUGCAAACCCAGUCUAAAAUAGCAGGGGAAUCGUUGGUCAGUGGGGGAAUGAACCUUUGCCAAUGAAUGACUCCAUCUUCCCUGAUAUAUGCUGGACACUGUCCGCGGGGGGCAGGGCUAUAUUGACAAUAAGUCAAGAUGUACAUGGAAACAUAGAAUGUGAUGGCAGAUAAGAACCAUUCGGCCCAUCUAGUCUGCCCAAUAAUGCCUAGUAAUAUUACCUAGUAAUAGUAAUAUUACAGGUAAUAUUACAGGUAUGGGCCUAUGGUAUAUCUUGGGGUAGCGGUAUACCAGGAUGAAACGGGGCCACAGGAUUGUGAAUGCUCUAGAGUAUAGCAAUAGGUUCCUCAACAGUCAGAAAUGUGUCAUGAUAAUGUAUUGUUGUAUAGCAGUCACAGACAGUCAAUAGCAGCCAUGAGAGGGUUACCAAAAAUACAUUGAAUAGUUUAGGGCUGCUAUAGAUCCCAGACAUGAGAUGAGUGGCAAAUAAAGUGCCCCUACCACUUAAUACCGUGCAAAUGCCACAGAGACGUCCACUGUGGCAUGUUGCAGGGAACUACUUUGGAAUGAAUUAGUGAAGUCAAUCUACGAUGAGACCAAAUUGAUGUCUUUGCCUACCAAUAUGUACUUCCUAAUGACCGAAGAAUUAAAUGUGAAAGUGAAAUAACGUGAGCAGAGGGAAUGUGUGCCGCUCGGUAACUUGUGAUGUUACCCAUAGUGGAUGAAAGUAAGGGGUACAUAGUGGAGUACUCAGUGUAAGGGUUAGGAACUCCUGAGUUAGGAGACUAAUUCUCCAGACUAUCAUAGAACAUAAUUAAUGAAAGAAUUGAUGUCAUCAUAGCAUGCAUCUCUGCCAUGUUGUCUGUGAUGUUUGCACGGGUGCAGAUACCUAGAUGGGGAGUUCAGAGUUGACACUCAUGAGUCUGUACAGCUCGGCUUCAGUACUGUUGCUGGGAACGGUAAGUCUUUAUGCAAGAGUUCAGCAGCAAUUAGGAACUGUGUUAGUGGUAUCCUGGUACUUGACCAGAGUACAAGGGACUAGCUGAGGUGCAGGGUCUGGCAGGGUACUUGGAAAUGAAAUAACCUCUUCUAGUUCUGUGGUGAGAGACAUACUAUGAUGAAAAAACAAUGAGCAUAUGUAAUGGGCAUCUCAAUGAGAGUGUAGCCCUGUAUCAACUAGGAGCUCGCUAAGUGCCGGAUGGCAAAGAAAUUAGCUUUAAAAGGGGAAGGUGAGGCCUUGCUAAAUGCCAAGUGGCUCAGAGAGGCUCUAGCUGUGAUCUUGGCUGAGGUACUGAGGUCACCGAAAGAAGUGGUGAGAAGUGGUGUCUUAGUGACAAGUAAGAGAUCAAAUGAGUGGCUGAGAUAGGUGAGGCCCUAUCUAAUAACCUGUAGAGGUCUAGCUAUGAGUUGGGCCGAUGGGUGAAUACCUCCGUGUGAGGAUGGGUAUUGGCCUCACGGGACUGAGUUAUGAACAUACUAGAAAAUGGCUUGCACCAAACCCUUUGCAGCCAGUUGAUCUAUCCCUAAGGAAUGUAGGGAAAUAGAAACGUAAUGGAUUGAUAGAAAGUAUAUUGAAACAUGCGUACCUUGCCCAACUAGUGAGUUUGAGCUUGAGAAAGGAAUGUCAUAGAAAGGAACCUAAAUACACAAUGGGGAUAUGUCCAGGAUGAUGCAAGUGGUAAUUGAGAUAAUGUACCUGUGUUUUGGUUAAUGAUUUAUACAUCAACAACAGAUUCAUAAGUAAGGAUGGUGGGAAUUUAGAAAAAUAAGGGAACUUAUGCAUAAGUACAUAGGCCAAACAAAAUGAGUAAGUAAAAGAGAUACCUGAUUGAACUGAAUCUAGAUAUGAGUUCCCACUGUGCGUCCUUCUACUAGAAGGACCUGAACUAUGUGUGAGAAGGAAUAACCUAAGUAAUUAAACACCAAAACAUCUCUAGUUUACUACCGUGUAGAGAAUUAUGAGAUUUAAUAAGCGCCUUAGUUGAAGGUGUAGGUUAUACUAAUUUAAGUAAAAUAGACAGAUCAUAGAGGUCUGAAUAUCUAUAAUGGCAUAAUGAGGUGUUCUUGUAUGGGCCUUGCAAGGCAGUGUGGAAUAGUAGAAUGUGAUAUGAAAGGGUUGUAGUUUUCCUUCGUAAGCAGGAAAAUGUUGUAUGUAAAUGCUCUAAUGGGGGUCUGGGAGGGUGAAAUUGGAUUGUACUUGUUUGCCCGAAGAGGGCCAUAUGUAACUGAAUGGAGUGAAGGCCUAGUGAGGGCCACCUGUAGAGCUAUCGUAGCCGAAGGCCGAGAGUGCCCUGUGAUGAACUAAACUUCAUCACGGGUCCUUGGAGGGGCGUACUUACCAGCCAUGUACCCUGUUACUAUGGACUCCGUGUUAAACCCUGGUUGAAAACACCAUUUGUGUCUAUUGGAACUGGUAACAGGAACCAUUCGAACUUUUGAAGUGGCACUUCGAACUCCCAAAGCCAUUCGAAGUGCCAUUCGACCAUGUGGCGGCGGCCAUCUUAAGCCGCGAGUACCAUGAGUGGUGUUUGGUCGUCGAGUUCAAUGGAACUCAAAUCGGACACUCGUCGAUGCAAACACCGCUAAAACUUUACCUUUCAUGGAUGUUCCGCUAUUCGAAUGGGAGUUGAACGGCGUUCAGUAAACAGAAACGCACGAACAAGAUACAUAUGAUCACUUUAUCCACGAACAGCUACUGUACUUCGAAUCCUGAAGUAGACUGGCCGCACACCCUGAUUCUCUGGAACUGCUUUGGGCAUGGGACCAUGCGUGCGGUAGGUCAAAAUAUGACUUCCAUAGAAUUCUUGAACCCCUGAACUUACCCACAGUUUCAAUCUCACACAGGGCUGGAUUAACAUAGGGGCUGAUGGAGCUGCAGCUCCAGGCCCAGGCCCAUGGAAUAGGCCCAUUAAAAAAAAAUGAAAAACAUGUUUUUUUACUUUUUUUUUUUUUUUUACACACACUACUCUUAGGUUUGCCACCUGACUGGUAUUUUAUGUGUUUAUUUGAGGCUGGCUGGCCAUGCCGGUAUUGCAGUAAUACGGGCAAUACAAAUGCAGAUAUUUUUCUCAGUAUAAACAGAGAUUAUUCUGCAAUACCAGCACCAGCCAGUAGGGGUCACUAUAUGUGGAGAGAAUCAGGGAUAGGAAGUUAUAGCAUAUCCCUCCCUGCCUCUCUACUCACUGACAUGCGGGGGAGCAGCUACAAAGCACAGAGAGUCCAGACAGCAGCUCCCAGUCUGCAGAGAUAGCCUACAGCUCAGGUAAGUGAAGGAUGGGGGGGAAAGGCAGCAGGGAGACAUGGGGACACUGAGACACUAGGGGACACAUGGGGACACUGAGACACUAGGGGACACUGUGAGACAUGGAGACACUGAGACACAUAUGGACACUGUGAGACAUAGUGACAUUGGGAGACACAUUGUGACAUGGAGACACUAGGGACACAGUGUCUCCAUGUCUCCCAAUGUCCCCAUGUCUCUCAGUCAGUGUCCCUAGUGUCUCAGUGUCCCCUAGUCCCCCAGUGUCUGUGUCCCCAUGUCUCUCAGUGUCCCUGUCUCAGUGUCCCCAUGUCUCCCAGUGUCCCCAAAUGUCUUUGUACCCAUGUCUUCCAGUGUUCACAUGUCUCACAACCAGUGUCCCUAGUGUGUCAGUGUCCCCAUGUCUCUGUAUCCCAGCCAAUGUCUGUGUCCCUAUGUCUCUGUGUCCCUAGUGUCCCCAUGUCUCUCAGUGUCCCUAGUGUCCCGAUGUCUCUGUGUCCCUAUGUCUCCCAGUGUCCCCAAAUGUCUCCUUGUCCACAUCUCCCAGUGUCCCCAUGUCUAUGUCCACAAGUGCCCCCAUGUCUCCCAGUGUCCCCAACUAUGUGUCCCCAUGCCUCCCAGCCAGUGUACCUAGUGUCUCAGUGUCCCCAUGUCUCCCAGUGUCUGUGUUCCGUGUUUCUCAGUGUCCCUAGUGUCUUAGUGUCGCCAAAUGUCUGUGUCCCCAUGUCUCCCAGUGUCUGUGUCUGCUUGUCUUUGUGUCCCUUAUAUCUGUGUUCCAAUUUCUCCCAGUGUCUCCAUGUCUGUAUCCACAAGUGCCCCCAUGUCUCCCAGUGUCCCCAGGUGUCUCAGUGUCCCUGGGUCUUUCAGUGUUCCCAUGUCUCACUGUGUCCCCAUGUCUCUCACUGGGAGACUAGAGUCCUUGGUGACAUGGCACUGUGAUACAUAGGGACACUGAUGCCAGGCUGCCCUUCCAAUUCAUUGGACAGACUUGCCCCCUUUUUAGGCAUGUUUGCUCUUUUGGCUGUUCUGGUCAUGUGAUUUGCGUCAGUGACCCACCCUUUUACCCCGCCCAUUGACUUCCUGCUUCACUGGACGCUGCUGUUAGGGGGGUAUGAAUUUACUUGAAAGAUGAAAGCAUAAAUUAGAGAGAGAUUAGCAUAGAAGAUGUGUUUUCUUAUAGCUGCAUCCUUUGAGUUUUCCUCCAACACCAUCUAUAUCAGAUACAUGACACUUGAGAGGUAAGACUGUUUCAGUGUUUUUGGUCGAUAAGAUUCUGUAAUUAGGCCCCAUCAUAAUUGUCAGCACCAGGCCCACUGUGCUCUUAAUCUGGCCCUGAUCUCACAGAAUAGCUCGAACACAGUUUUCCUCUUCCCUCCACAUCUCACAUUGUCACACUCACACAUUUGAUCCCCACCUCCAUCAGGAAAGACAUUAUUGAGGAUAAAGUUACUACGUGGAUUUGUCAAGGGCCCUUAAAGCCAGGGAUCAAUUCCCUUAUUGAUACUCGCCUUUGGUCUCUACAGAGACAUCUGAUGUUCCGCAUAUAUCCCCAGAGGCAAGAGGAACUGGAUAUCUACUUACACAAGUUGGAGGAUUUAGGGCACAAGUACAGGGGCUUUUCUUGCUAUGACUAUCACAAGUCUGUGUCAGCUACAGCAGCGGCAGCUCUGGCCCAGUUUAACAUUAAAAUCGACUGGAGUCAUUUGGAUACUAAACUGUUCUGCAGCCAUUUUGCUGGCUUGAAGCCCCCAGCUUGUGCAAUUUGUUCACCCUCCUCCCAUUCCCCCUACAUUUGCUCCUGCAAAGCUGACCCAUCUAUAUCCACCACCCCCCCGUACCACUCUCGUUUCCACUGUGGGUCAAGAUUGGGGUCAGAAGGACAAAUUGGGCAGACCCCUAGUUUUCUUGGGGAAAGCAUAUGUGUGCAGCAAUUUUAACGCUGGUACCUGCAAUUGCAGUGCCUGUAGAUUGUUGCACAUCUGCUCUAUAUGUUUCAGGACACAUGCAAACUCAAUGUGCCACACCAAGCUCUUUCCCAAGAAAUGACUUACAGAGGUUAAUCGGGCCACUCUAAACCAUCACUUACGCUUUUACCCCUCACCCCCCUUAGGAAUUCUUGGUUUCUGUAUUUUCCACUGGUUUUCAUACAGGUCUCGUGGCACUUCCCUCAGGCACACACGAUUGCCCCAAUCAUUAUCAGCCUAUUCCGAUCCCUUAACUGUAGAUCCUCUACUGAACAAAUAAGUACAUCUAGGUUUUGUCUUAGGCUCAUUUCUCAUUCAUCAUUUCAGACUUGGCGCACAUAUCCCAUCGGUGUUUAGACUCACAAAUUGUCAAAUAUAAAAGCUUAUCAUUGAUCUUUCAGCUCCUCAUUCUUCACACACAACAAGCAUUAACUCUCUCAUUCCUGCUAAAGAAUUUUCCUUCCAUUACACCACAAUCGACUACGCCACCCAGGCCAUUUUACAUACUUGGCUUAGCAAAACUGAUUUCUCUAAAGCUUUCAAGCUGCUACCAAUUCACCCGUCCCUAUGGCAUAUUCACGGUGUUAAGUGGAGGGAUAAUUAUUACUUUUACACUAGACUUACUUUUGGUUCAGUCCAAAACUGUUCGAUAUCUUCACAAAAACACUCUGUUGGCUGCUUCUCAAUGUCGUCUGAUGUCCCACGGUGAUUCAGUACCUCAACAACUUAAUCCUAGUAGAAACUUGUACACAGACACCUCAAGUUGUUUCAGCAGUACUGCCUGUUUCACCACAUUGGGUAUCACUAUUUCAGCUGAUAAGACUCUUAGCCCAUCCACAAGGUUGGUAUUCCUGGGCAUCACCUUGGACACAGUCGUUUUUCAGGCAAGCCUUUCAGAGGAGAAGCUGGUACACAUUAGUGAGGAAGUGGACCAUUUCCUGCGAGCUGGUUCAUGUUCUCGUAGGGAGCUUCAGUUCUUACUGCGGUCACUCAAUUUUGCCAUGCAAAUCAUCCCACAGAGAGGGGCAUUAAUUUCUAGGGUUCUUUGUCUAUUUCCCAGCUUGUCUAAUAAUGUGACUGUUCUCCUCGACCCCCUGCCUUAGCCGAUUUAUGAAUGUGGCAACAUUUUCUUGUUUCUUGGAAUGCUAUUUCUUUGAUUAUUUUCACCUAUUUCUCACUAUCAGGCUAUCAAUCCCCACAUCAGACAGGCUCCUGUCCAGAACUCCACUAAUAGCUUGUGAUGAACUAGCCAGCCUUCUGUCUCACGUCCAGUCACUAUCACAUUCUGCACUAUCUGAUAUCACAAACGUACAGGAACAUUUCUCCAUAGAAUCACGUACUCACCAAGUAUCAUCGCAAUCAAAUCCCUUUUCUCAUGUCCUAUGCUAUUAAAGUAUAUUGCGGGAUAUCAAUAAUACAGAUAAACUUCAUCCAGGUUACCAAUCUAUGGUCCAAUAUUCUGAGCCCUCUCUGAUUUACUGGACACACAAACAUUUGACAGUCCCACAAAUCAAGUCAUUAAAAAAGUUAUAUUGCUUGCUAUGGUUUUAGAUCCCAAGAGUUUACAGUAGCUAGACAUGCAUCAUCUCUAGAGUAAAAUAUCUGAUAUCACUAAACAUCACUAUCACUAUAUACUCUCUCUACUAACCUCUAAAAACAAACCAAAUGACUCAUCCAUCCGCUAUACCACUUUAUCCCACCAAGAACAGGUGGUGCUCAGUUAAAAUACUCUAUUCCUACUUACCCACAUACAGUCAUGUCACACACAAUUAACCACUUCUUUCACUUCCAGCAAUCUCUCUGACUACUGCUAAGUUCUUAUUUUACAUUAGAACACUUCUCUUAAGAUUGGGUUUCAACCCGUCUUCUUUUUCUGGUCAUUCAUUUAGAAUAGGGGCAGCUCCAACCGCUUUCAGCACGGACACUCCAAUGCAUAUCCUUAAAAUUGGGGAGAUUGUAAUCCUCAGUUUACAAUCAGUACAUACCUCAUCCCGGAAAGAAAUGAGGAAAGCUUUUAAAUGUUUGGCCUUGUAAACGUGAUGCAUAAAGUGUGUUGUUCUUCGAUAACUCUUUGCCCUCUUUUAUUACAGGCCUACCUGUAUGUUGGUUACGGCACACCCCAACCAACUUUGUAUUAGCCCGAUUUACGUAUAUUACUAAUAUGUUUCCGACCACAAGUUUUAAGGCCAUAGGCAUGUAUUUGUGGGAGGAGUUUGAAUAUAUCUUAUCCUAUAAAAACUCCCACUUGCCAUUGUACAGAACACAGGUGAGACCUCACUUGUAGUAUUGUACACAGUACUGGAGACCGUAUCUAUAGAAGAAUAUUGAAACUUUAGAGAGAGUUCGGAAAAGGGCUACUAAACGGAUUCAUGGAUUGCAGGAUAAAACUUACAAGGAAAGGUUAAAGGAACUUAACACGUAUAGCUUGGAGGAAAGACGAUAAGGGAGAUGUGAUAGAAACAUUUAAAUACAUAAAGGGAAUCAACACAGUAAAUGAGGAGACUAUAUUUAAAAUAAGAAAACCUACCUCAACAAGAGGACAUAGUCUUAAAGUAGAGGGGAAUAGGUUUAAAAAUAAUAUCAGUAAGUAUCACUGUACUGAGAGGGUAGUGGAUGCAUGGAAUAGCCUUCCAGCUGAAGUGGUAGAGGUUAACACAGUAAAGGAGUUUAAGCAUGCAUGGGAUAAGCAUAAGGCUAUCCUAACUAUAAGAUAAGGCCUGGGCCUAAUAAAAGUAUUUAAAAAAAUUGGGCUGACUAGAUGGGCCGAAUGGUUCUUAUCUGCCGUCACAUUCUAUGUUUCUAUUAUAGCUAUAUAUAAUAUGAAUAUAUCUUAUAUAUAACGUCAUACUAAGUGUAUGUUUUUAUUAACAUAUACAUGUAUUAAUAUAAAAAAUACACAGUAAAAUUACACAAAUUCUGAGCAAAAAAAUAAAAUAAAUAAAUAAAUAUAUAUAUAUAUAUAUAUAUAUAUAUAUUUGUGCUCAGAAUUUAUCUAAUAUGUAAUGGGAUGUAGAAGGAGAAGCAAAGUUGGUUGAGGUGUGUCGAAACCAACAUACGAGUAGGCCUGUAAAAGAGGGCCCACAAAGGUGAAUUGUUAAUAUAGAUGGGUUUAGGUGGGUGGGGACAAACAGCUUGCGCGACAAAGGUAAGUACACAGUGAGCUGAACGGAACGGAGGUGAAGGAAGUUGAACGGAGCUGCUGCACAGGUAAGUAACAGCUUGCUGCCGGCCACCAACAGGACCGCCGGGCUCAUUACAAGUUGCCAUAAUACAGACAGUGACUCGAGUAUAAGCCGAGGGGGGCUUUUUCAGCACAAAAAAUGUGCCGAAAAGCUUGGCUUAUACUCGAGUAUGUACGGUAUAUAUAUAUAUAUAUAUAUAUAUAUACACACACACACACACACACACACAGAUAUCUAUGUGUAUAUAAAUACAAAUACAAAAUAUAUGUAUUUAUCCAUAUACAUAAUUACAUAAAUAUACACGUAGACUUUAAAUAUAUAAAUAUGUACAUAUAUUUAAAUUAUACGUGCAUAUUUAUGUAUAAUUUUUACAUAAUUAAGUAAUUUUAUUGAUUGCAAUUUGAGGGACCUGCCUGACAACCCAGGCCGAAUGUCCAGAGAAUUUAAUUUGCUAGCACUGUAUUUACCCCUCUAACUUUCUAACUAAAACCUGUACAUGAAGGGGUACUGUUUUACUCAGGAGACUUCACAGAACACAAAUUAGUGUUUCAAACCAGUAAAACAUAUCACAGCAAUAUUGUUAGAGAAAGUGACGCAUUUUUAAUACUCAAACAAAUAUAAAUGCUAACUUUGGCCAGUCUUUGUGACUAAAUGGCUACUAAAAAAGACUGGACAUACCCGAUAUUGAAUACCUUGGGUUAUCUACUUUAAAAAAAUAUGUACAUGUGAGGUGUGAUUCAGAGAUUUAUGACAGAUAACAGUGUCACUAUUGAUAAAUUAUAAAGAAAUAUAUAUUUUGAAACAGUAAUGUCCUACUUGUACUUAUUGCCCUAUAACUUGCAAAUAAAAGCUAAGAACAUGUUAACAUUAGGUAUUUCUAAGCUCAGGACAACAUGUAGAAACUUUAUCAUGGGUGUUUUUUGACGGUUGUAGAUACGUAACAGAUUUUAGGGGUAAAAGUUAGAAAAAGUGUGUUUUUUAAAAAUUUUCAUCAUAUUUUAUAAUUUUUGUUAUAGUUCAUUAUAUGAUAUGAUAAAAAUAAUGGUAUCUUUAGAAAGACCAUUUAAUCAUGAGAAAAACGAUAUAUAAUAUGUGUGGUUACAGUAAACGAGUAAGAUGAAAAUUACAGCUAAACACAAACACCGCAGAAAUUUGAAAACAGCCCUGGUCGUUAGCGGUAAGAAAAUUGAAAAAUAGUCUGGUCACAAAGAGGUUAAAUUCCUGACAUUUUUCACUUUAAUGGGUAUGCCAGAUUGUGUUGAUCUGUUUGAAAAUUAAACUUUUUUUUUUCUCAAUGUAGACUAUUUAAAUAAAAGCCAGGAUAUGUGCAGCUAGGGCAGCAUAAACCAUAACAAAACUGAUUUAAGUCAUAAAUACUUACCAAUACUACUUAAUUUGGUUUAAGUUGAUUUAGUAGAGUUGGUUUUGUCCAGACAGAAGUUUUUCACAUAUUAUUGAUUUAUAAAUACAAUUACAUAUUCUUGUGUUUUUCUCCAAACAAUUAUUGUAUAUAAACUAAUAUGCUAAAUUUAAAUGAACCUUUUAUCUUUUUUCCCCCAGAUACUAUUGGCCUGCUCACUCUUCCUCCAGUAAGUAAAAAUACA
rnacentral:lncRNA from 1 species